rnacentral:lncRNA from 1 species
AAAGUAUGGGGGUUUUUUUGUAUAUUAGCCUUAAGUGCUAACCAUUGUGACUUAUCUUUGACUCUUGUAUACAUUUCGAGAGAGAGAGAGAGAGAGAGAGAGAGAGAGAGAAUGGCGAGUAGAGGGUUUCGAGUUCAUAGAUUUCUAAGGAGCUGCGAUUGGAUUCGUCUUCGCCCCAAUUUGAAUCGUGGAUUCUCUUCUGAUGCUGUUCCAUCCCAAUUAGAGGUGAGUUUUAUAUAUAUAUUUUUUCCUUUUUUUGUGAUUUUUUGGCCAAUUUGAUGAGAUUCUGAUUGCAAAAACUGUUGGAGUAAAAAUCCCGAUUUGGAUUUUUUUAUGAUCCCUUUUUUUUUUGACGGGAAAAGACUUUUUUUGAAUGAUCAAAGCUCAAAUUUUUGGGUUAAACGUAAAAAAAAAAAAAUGAAAACUUGUACAUUGGGGUUAAUUGCUUAGAUGUCACACUGCAAUGAGAUAUCUAAUGUUCUUAGUGGAUGAGCAAUUGUGGACUAUUACUGGAGCUCACACUGUUUAGUGCUUUGAUUCUAAUAUAUCUUGUAUUAGCUUUUUGAUUUGCUAAUUGUAACUUUUUUUUUGGAGGAUAUGUUAAUUAGUAACUGUUAUCCAAAAGAUUCAUCUAAUCAGAAGGAAAAAUGGUCCGGGAAUAAUCUUAACACCCUCACUCACAUGCAUGGUGUAGAUAAGGUAAUAUCAUGUCGCAUGCAUUGACAGAAGAGGUAACAGAACGGACGAAAAGACGUGUAUUUAAUCUAGCAAGUGAUAGAUGUGGGAAUUGAAUCCACGACCUAACUAAGGGGAUUUAUGAUUGACUUUGAUACCAGAUUACCCGCCAAGUCAAUCCGUUACGAAUCGACCCAGCGAUAAUCUUAUGAUUCUUACUGCCUAAUAUGAAGUAAAUUGAGAGAACGAUUUUCUUUUAAGUUCUUCAACAGUUUUCAAUUCAUUUAUUCUUUAGAGUGGUGCUUUUCUCUCUUAGGAUUUAUGUUGAUUCCUUUUUUUAUAUCCUGUGAAUACUUUGCAGAGAGUUGGAUUUAUAGGACUCGGAAACAUGGGGUACCACAUGGCGAAGAAUCUGAUAACGGCUGGAUAUAAAGUUACAGUUCAUGACAUGUAAGUAUAAUCAUCCACUGUUGUAUUAUUCAUGGCUUUCGUUGAACUAAUCAAAACUUGGUUUGCUAAUAAUCUUGCAUUUUAUACUCUAUACAAAAGCAAAACGAAGUAAUUAAAGGUAAUAAUUCAUUGUCGCAUUGUUAUGAAGCCUUCCAUUUUGAUAAAUGGUAGCUUAUGCAGGUACAAGUCUCUUCUAUAGCAUGAGUAGCUUCUCAAUUAGUGUUUUGGUCUAGCAACUGCUCUUCCAGAAAUAGAAGCAAUCUUAUUGGAUCGAGUUUCUCUUUCUUCUUGAGAAGAAUUUGUUUUUAUUGAUUAACCAGGGAAUAUUUACAAAAUUUUAUCUAAGCCUAAUGAUUGUAAUUUUUUGCAAUUUGAAUUUUGAGAGUGGACCGUCAAAUAAAAACUUGGAUUCUGAUGAUCUCUAGUAAUGAUAAUACCAUGAAGAAGUUCUCGGAAAAGGGUGUUCCGACAAAAGAAACUCCUUGUCAAGUUGCCGAGUCAAGUGAUGUCAUAAUCACCAUGCUGCCCACAUCGUCUAAUGUAAGUUAGUUUUGAUCUGUUUAUUUCUCUUUUUUCUUUUUGACUUGUAGAGGAAACACUUGCUGUACUUUGAUCAGUUGACUUCUGACAAAUAUUGAGGACCCUGUAAUGUAAUGCUAGACGAAUGCAGAUGUUAUAUUCUUGAACCAUUUUUCAGGUUUUGGAUGUCUACUUUGGACAAAACGGCUUGAUAGAAAGUCAAAAUCACUUAAGCCCCUGGUUAUUCAUAGACUCUUCUACAGUUGAUCCACAAACUUCAAGAAAGAUUUCAAUGAGCAUCUCAAAAUGCCAUCUAAAAGAAAAGAAAGGUAUUUUUAUUUGUAUGCUCCUACAGAAUGCUACCUAGUACUCUAUCAAAUAUUAUAAGACACCUAUAUAAGUAGCUUUAGAAUAGCAUAUUGAAUUUUCUCAUUUUUCAAAAUUUGCAUAUUUAAUUAUCUCAAGACAAGAAAUUGGUGUUAAAGCUAUUAGUUUGUUUGUGUGUUGAUCUGAUAUAUUUUUAUAUUCCUGCACCUUACCAAUUAAACACUACUAGUGGGUGUUACAAUAUGUAUCACAGCAGUUAGUACCAUAGUAGGGAAAAUGAAUAAAGUUAGCAACAUAUGUUGAGAGCUGCUCAAAUUUCUGGAAAUGUAUUGGCUUUCUAUAUUUUCUUUGCUACCAUUGAUGUGGUUUUAUUAUUCAGGCUAUGUAGAAAAGCCGAUCAUGUUGGAUGCUCCUGUCUCCGGAGGCGUCCCAGCUGCAGAAGCCGGAACACUUACUUUCAUGGUACUUCUUCUCCUUGGUCGCUAAAAAGUAAACAAAGGGGAGCUUAACAAAUAAAAUUUUACAAUUUGACGAAGGAUCUACACUCAAAACUUUAUGAAUAAAAGCGACCCUUUUAUUCUAGGUGGGUGGCUUAGAAGCUGCUUAUCUUGCUGCUGAACCCUUACUUCUAGCCAUGGGUAAAAGGACAAUCUAUUGUGGUGGGUCUGGAAAUGGUGCUGUAAGUCAGUUUCUCUUUCAUAUACUGAACUUUUUGUCUUUCAUCUCUCACUAGGUUGAUGGGAAAAAUGAGAUGCAGAAAAGAGAUUUCAUGAAACAGAAACUGUUGUAAACAGUUUGAUUCAUGAUUUACAGCUCCUCAAUAGAUUUAAAUUGCUUCCUCUGUAACCUCUAUGAAGAUGGGGGUGAAGGAUGAAAAGAGCUGUUAUAUACUUUCAUACAGUGUAGAUAUAUGCAAAAUUAAACUCUUUUUAAUACGAUCGAACUUGCUGAUUUGCAAAACAUGCCGCUUUGAGUUCUAACUCUAUGGAAGAUUUGCAUCAUUUGUCAUCUCCAGGCAGCAAAGAUAUGUAACAAUUUGGCGAUGGCAAUUAGCAUGAUUGGGGUCUCCGAAGCUUUUGCUCUUGGUCAGAACCUUGGAAUUAGGGCGAGCACAUUAACAAAUAUAUUCAAUUCUUCAAGUGCUCGAUGUUGGAGUAGGUAAAUAAUUACCUGCCUCUGUCCUACAUUUUGUAGCAAAUUAUUUGUCGCUGUCACUUGUUCUUAACAGGCUAUUUAACAGGAAGUUCCAAUUAAGUCAUUCUGAAUGACUUCCUCAAAUCUGUGUCAACCAUUUACAUUAUCCCAUUUAUUUUUUAUGAUUCUUGAGUUACAAUUUGGCAAUUUCAUGUUAAUCUGAAUAUCUUUCUUCUCUGGUAACUUUCACUCGCAUCACAACAUUAGACCUUCCACUGAUUUUUAUGGAUUUGGCUAGUUUUUGCCUUAUGCAAUUAGUUGUGAUUUGCAUAAGUGGAUUUGUCACUUUGUGUCAUUCUUGAAUGCUAUAUUCAGAAGUGAAGAACUUGAUCCCAUUUUGAAUUUAUAUACAUAAUUUCUUAAUUAAAAGAAAAUAUUUUUGAUGUUCACCAAAUUUGGCAGUGACACUUACAAUCCGGUUCCGGGAGUAAUGCCGGGGGUGCCUUCGUCAAGGAAUUACGAUGGUGGAUUUGCAUCUAAACUUAUGGUAUGGAGUAAAUAUCAUCUAGCUCUUUAACCAGUUUUUUUGUUACCAAUUGGAAAUCCUUCACAUAGAUAUUAUCGAGUCUAAGGUGCACUCUAGACCUAAAGCUGAGAGCCAAAUCCUUUAUCACUUCAUUUUUUUGUCGAAACAUACUAUCGCAAUGCAAAAUUGAUGCCUAACUUCCCAUUAUAUGAUGGUUUCAGAUAAUCUCUUCACAAAUUAGUCUGCUUAGUAAGCAUGCCAUUUUAUGAGAAGAUGAUAUCUAUGCAGGCUAAGGACUUGGGAUUAGCCAUUACAUCUGCAGCUGAGGUCGGUCUCGAGAGUCCGCUAACUUCCAAAGCUCAUAAUAUGUGAGAUAUCUUUUUGCCCCUAAACCUCCAUAAAACUAUAAAAAGCUAUCAUACUUGAGUUAGCUUCUUUCUUACUUUGUGAAUGCAAUUUUUUUUUUUCCUGCAGUUACAAAAGAUUAUGCGAGAAGGGCUACGAUUCUAAGGACUUUUCGUGUGUCUUUCGACAUUACUACUCUGGGAAGGAUGAGAAUUAGACACAUUCGCUGGUGAUAACAAAGCACAAAUUCAUCGAAGCAUGUUGUGGAUUGAACAUCAGAAAUGCUGUGUUCAGCGAUAACUACAACUAGUCUGUAAUUUAAGCAUGUACUUCAUUGAUAAAAAUUCAACAAAAUUGCCGGUAUAUUGGAGUAAACAUUUAUCUAAGUUGCUCCCUUUUCUUCAUAUUUGUUAUUCAAAGUUAAUAAAUUGUUCCGUAAUAUUCAAUAGACUCAGUUUCAGUGUCUUAUAAUUUUUAAACCUGCAGUCACAAUAUAGACUGUUUACUGCUGUUAAUAAUUUCUCAUACUGACAGUGGGCUAUAAUGGGCCAAACUGGGCUGUUGAUGGGCCCAAAAUUGAUUAAUUUUGGCCCGCUGUUCUAACUGCGUGAGCCCAGUCACUGACCCUAGCCCGGCCAACAACUUUUUUGAAUCUAGUUUGAAUAAAUUUCACCCACAAAGAAAUGAAUAAACAAAAAGAGGCCUUCUCUGAAACACACCUAUUUUUUUCUGUGCAGGGGCCCUCAGGAGGAGAAGAUAAUGUUUGGGCAAUACCAUAUCAGGAUCCAGCCACAUAGAGAUUGCCACGUGUCAGCAUGGUAAUCACCCUCUCACUUCAUAAUAUCACUCUCCUCUUCACAUUUUGGGCACAGUAGAGAGAGAGUAGAGAGAGAACACAGAGAGAGAGAGAGAGAGAGAGAGAGAGAGAGAGCAUGGCAACCACAGUGAUGUCUUCUUUGGUGUUGAAGCCAUCUUCAAUUGUAGUUGAGAGGGCUCAAGCUAAGGGACUCCCCUCAUUGGCACGGAGCCCGUCCUCUCUCAAUGUUCAGGCUAGUCGCACUAGGAAGAUCAAGACUACCACCCCCUACGGUAAGUAGCUUCGUCGCCACCUACAUGGUGUUACUAACAAAGUUACUUUUAUUACCGGCUCAGAGAGUCAUUGUACCUACUCACUUGUUAGUAGGUUUGUUGAAUAUUCUAAUCCCAGCGUCUUUGUAACUGUGACUCGAACCUGUAUUCUCUAAACCCACUCUAGUGCCUUACUGCUCGGAUACCAGUAGUUUGUGUAGAAAUUGUCAAAUCUAAUAAUAUUUUUGAUCUGGCUUCUGAAAUAACCUCUGUGUUCACGUAGAAGUUAAUUGAUUUUAACAUCCAGUUCCUUUUUGAAGAAAAAGCUAGAAAAAGUAAAUUUAUUCGUAAAAAAAAAAAAAACUCACCUCAUCCUAUUAUAUUCAUGAUUAUUCAAUCUUCAAAGUGUGAAACUUAGGAAGCACUAAUAUUGCAGGGCCUGGAGGAGGGAUGGAACUCCCAAGUGGUCUUGAUGCAUCGGGAAGGAAGGCUAAGGUAAUUGUUUUUUUAUUAUUAUUAUUUUCUUUAGUUAUUUUUUGUUCCAUCAUUACCUUCGAUGCAAUAUUUUAUGCACGGAUAAACAGAAACAACCUCUUGUUUUGAUACCAUAUGAGACAAUCGAUUAUCAUUUGAAAUGGUGCCUUAAUUAUUUGGUAUUCUUUUUUUUAAUAUAAUCCAGGGGAAGGGAGUUUACCAGUUUGUGGACAAAUAUGGUGCAAAUGUUGAUGGCUACAGGUAUAACACAUAGACUUGUUUACGUUUUUUUUUUUUUCUUAUUGCUCAACCUUAUUUACUUAAUUUAGUAGCUUCAUAAUAAUACAUGAAGAGAGAGAGAGAGAGAGAGAGAGAGAGAGAGGAUAAUCACUAUAAAUCCCAAAUUGGAAAAGAAAAGAAAUAAUAAUCCUGAAGAAACUUCUGUUAAUGAUUGAAUAGAACAAAAAACUUGUAAAAUUUAACAUUUUUUUUUAAUAAAUUUGCAGCCCAAUCUACUCACCAGAUGAAUGGUCCCCAAGUGGUGAUGUCUAUGUUGGAGGUAAACCACACAUCACAAUAACACAUCAACAGUUGAAUGCCGCACCGUCAGCAAACUAAAAGUUUUCUGGUCUAACACCAGAAAUACAGAUCCUCAGAAAAGUUUAACUUAAUCCCUUGUUCUUUAAAUUUGCAUAAUUUGAUUGAUCAUGCAGGAAGCACAGGGCUGUUGAUAUGGGCUGUAACUCUCGCCGGGCUGCUUCUCGGCGGAGCGCUUCUUGUGUACAACACCAGUGCUCUGGCUCAGUAGAAAAAAAACUUAAAUAUGUAUGGUUUAGUUAUGUACUAAGGACGAUAACGCAUCAUGCUUGCUUAUCAUUAAGCUCGUGUUGAUACUGUCUCUCUCAUGUAUAAUCCUUUACGUCUUUAAACGUAAAAUCAUGGAACAAUUUGUAUAAUUUUUCGUGCGCAUUGUUUCUAUGCCACCAUUGUGAAGUAACAAUAAGCUCGAAAAAUGCUCAAAACAGAUCGUAGUAAAGCAAGAGUGUGAUGAGGGGUUUAACCUCCCAAGGAGGCAUUAUUAUUAUUAUUAUUAUUUUUUUUGAAAAACAAAAUGUCGCAAGUACUUUACAGCAGCCUGCAACAUUAAUAAUCUAAUAACAAAUACCGUGUUAUGUAAAUAACAACAAGUUUUGAGGGUCUCACACAAAAUAUCAAAAGAUAUGCCCAUGGUUGAAAUAAACUUUGAAACCAAACCGGUAGUGCUUUACGAAAAAUUCUAGAAUGCAACGGGUACAUUAGUGACGUGGCGUAACAAACCAAUCAAAUUAAUCCUUUUAAAAAUAUAUGUCCCAUCAUGAUUGUAAAAAAAUAUUUUUAUUAUACUUUUGUUUAAAAAGAAGGAAUGUGAUUGGUUUAUUAUUGAUGACGUGGUGCAAGUGUGACAGUGUAGAAUUCCUCGUGCUUUACCGAGUACAAUAAUAUGUUCACAAAUGAAUUAAACUCUAAAAUUUAAAACGACUGCUUCUGUAGCAUCCAACCAGUAUUUUUCUGUAGCAUAUUUUACCACACCAUCCAUCAUAGUAGUAGUACACUUAACUUACAAAAAGAGGUAAAACAAACCUUAGUUAUUCUAUAACCACAACAGAAAUCCAUCAUACAGCCAAAAUAAUACCACACUUGACCUGAAAAUAACAAAAAUCAAGGAAACCAAAAAUGCGAGCUAAUGAGUGGCAAGUAGAAACCAAUUACAGUCCUUAACAUGUCUGAUAGAUAAUUGAGCUAACUAGGCAAAAAUUCUUAGUAAAGGUACAUUCUCGAAGGCCAGAGAAUCCGGAUUUAAUCAAACAGGCUGAAGCCCAUGUCGUCGUCGGACUCCUCCGCAGGCUCCUCUUUCUUUUCUUCUUCCUUUGCAGCAGCGGCCGGAGCAGCAGCAGCUCCAGAAUCAGCAACAGCAGCCGGGGCGGCAACAGCAAAUUUGCUCGGGUCCUGAUAAAACAAAAAUAUAACUUACGCCCAUCUAAUUUGUGUAGCUACCUAUUUGGUUAGGAAACAAGUUUUCAAUCAAACGAGCUUCAUAAAACAUUCUUAAGUCAACAAAUUCAUCCCUUCCAGCCAAAAAAACACUAGGAAUAUUGAUCAUCCAUGAACUGCACCGCAUUUGAAACAGGUACUGAACUGUGAAUUUUUCUACUUUCAACUCAAAUUUCAUUACUUUCUAUUUCAGAAACUCUUAAGUUCUGUUAAAACACAGCUGCUUCAUCACAUUAGUUGCAAGUAUACUUAUAUUUGGUCAAGUAACAAAAUAAAGAUCUGACAAAGAGAUACGUUAGUAAAAUAACAAGAGAGAUAGGUUAAUAUUGCAACCUCUCUUGUUAAUGUCGAUAAUUUGAAGAAGGUAGUUUACCAGAGAAAAAAAAACAAAAAACGAGCUCAUGGUUGUUACGCUAGGACUAAUUUAAACUUUGAGCUCAGAACAAGCGGGCUAGCAUUAGAUCACGAUAACAUACCUUCAGAUACUCCUUGAUCUGCUCUGCUUGUGGGAAUGUAUACUCAGUUUCAAUAGCAACAGCGAGUACAUUCUUGUAGGCAUUGAUGAACAUAUGCGGAGCAGCUGCGAGGGUCGGAUAGGAAAGGGCCAGGGAAAGCGAGGUGACCAUGGAAACACCAGCUGCAAACUUCUCAAUCAGAUCGUCCUCUGUCAGAUCGAGCACCUCGGGGCUGAAAACAGAACCGCUGUCGUACACUGACUGUAUGACGAGGCCGUAGGAGAAGGGCCUGAUGCCAAGCUUAGCAAGCAGGGCCGCUUCAGACGAUCCCACCUUUUCCCCCUUCCUGAUCAGCUCCACAGGAGUGAUGAUUUCGACCGUGCCCUUGUUGAUCUUAGUGGGGAUAUUGAGGACCUGAAAGUGGAGCGGUAGACAAGUAAGAAUUUGAAGAUUCGUUGAAAUUCUGUUCAAGAAUAGAAGAUAUGUGAUUAACUUACUUGGAAGAAGCUGGUCUGUGAGGGGUCCAGUCCGGUGUUGCCGGGUGGAACCACAACAUCAAUCGGGGCGACGAGUCCCACACGAGCAGGAGCUCCAACCUGAUUUGUACAAAUGGCCAUAAACAUCGUUAAAACAAAAGGAGAAAGUGUUGCAACAUCGCUGUUCAAAACAAUCAGAUAAGUUCAACAAACAACAGAGGAAUAACAUAAGAUACCAAGCACUGAAAAGUCAGGCCUAUGCUUCUGAAUCAAAUUAGCAAAAGAAGAGCUAUUAUCAUAAAUCUGGCAAGAAAUCAACUAACAUCAUAUUGUAUUUUUCCCCAAAAAUAAAAACACAACCAGAUAUUCAUACGCUCCCCAUGGCAUCCAUCAUAAAUCUCCUAGUAGUGCCUCUUUAUUAUCAACUUUAUACCUAAAGAGAUGUCACAAAAAUUAAGAAAACCAACACUUACUCUCUGAAGCCGGAAUACAAGAGUGUAUAUAGAUAGGUUCUUCUACCCUUACAGAUGAAUGUGUACAUAAAUAGCAAAACAUUAUAUAGAAGCUUUUCCUGGUUUUUACAACUACUAGUGAGUACUCACUCAUUAUCGAAAUUUGUCAUUUCAGAAUUAUCACAAAUUACUUUGGAUUGUUCAAACCGACUAGCAUUGUCAAUAAGCUAUCUUUUUAUUUACUGAAAACAGCUAGUCUGAUGAGUAAUAGUUCCUUCUGAAGCACGCUUGGUAAGACAACAAAAUUAUGCUUCCCCAUUAUAUCCAAAUGGUUUUCAUUGUAUCACUCCAAUUGAACUCACAAAACAGAACAGAAAUUACCUACUGCAGAGAAAUUCUUAUGUUUGUUUGACAUAUAAUAUUAUUACAGAACAGUGAUAGGAAAUAUGAUACAUACCUUAUACUUAGCAACCUCCUCACUGACCUCCUUGAGAUCUCCCUUGGUGAAAAUUAAUCCAACAUUUCCCUACAAUUUACAACAACUCUAGUGAGAGUAUUAUCCAAAUUACACUAUAACUAAACUAGCUAAAAUACCCAGAAACUUCUCAAAAAUACAGAAAAUAAAGGCAGAGGACCACAAAAAGCCCAAUACUUCAAUUAAAACUACAAUUUUUCUAAAAAAAUCUAGUACCUUCACAAAAACUAAUCAAAGUACUAAAUACCAACCGAAGAUCGUAGCUUUUCCACAGAUCAACAAUACGAAACCGAUGAAACAAAACCUAAAUGGAAUCAAAACAGUUUGGAAACGUUAAAAAACGAGAGAAAAAGAUCGAUUGAUACCACGAGGAGGGGGAGGAGGUUGAGGUAAUCCUUGUUCCCGGACUUCUCGGCGUGGAUCUUGAUGCAGCGUCGGAUGAGGGUGUUCUUCCCCAUGAGGAUGAUGGAGUCGCCCCUGAGCCCCUUGCGAAUGUUCUGGAGCUGGUUCGAGCCGACGUUGUCCGCCGUGGCGAUGAGCACCUUGUUGUACUCAUCGAGGAGCUGGCACAGCUUCUUGUCGUACGCGACCUUCUUCUCCGCCUUCGAGAGCUUCACCGUCAUGGCUGCGUCGAUCUACGAGAUCCUCCCAAAAACUCCUAACCCUAAACCUAACCCUAGUUCGAUGAGGAGGAAGAAGAGGACGAUGAGGGCCUAGUCGAAGCGGGAGCUCGAACAGGGCGGACGGGGAGAGGGGGCCGUCGCUUUAACCUCACGUUUCUCUGAAACCCUAGCGGGCGAUCGCGAGGACCCUUUUAUAGAGGUUGGCACGUGCGGAGCACGUGCAAACCGGCCUGUUUGGCUCGGCGCGGUUCCGUUGNACCUCACGUUUCUCUGAAACCCUAGCGGGCGAUCGCGAGGACCCUUUUAUAGAGGUUGGCACGUGCGGAGCACGUGCAAACCGGCCUGUUUGGCUAGGCAAAGUUGGCCUGGUUUUGGCUUGAGGGCAAGCUAGUGACAAGCUGUGAUCGCCUGGAACGGGUCCACCAAGCCAUCUAUAGUCCGCAAGCAUAUCCACCGUCCAUCACCUCCCUCCUUGCAAUCUCUACCACACUUUAAGAAAGUAAGUUUCUGACGGAGGGUGGAGGAGUACACGGUUAACAUCGUACACGGUGGACCUGGUUCAGGGAAUAAUUUAUUAAGGCCCAUUGAUGGUUGAUCUUAUCUGUCGAACUGAGCAGUGCAAUCAUCAACAUCAGCAUCAAUUGGACUGAUUUUACAAUGUAGCUUGGUUGGGAAUUCGUGUCUGAUUCGAAUUCGAAAUCGCCGGGCUAUUAAACAGUUUGAUAAAGAUUACGGAGUACAAUACCAUGUGACCCCCACUUCGCGACCCAUCGCUGCACUGCUGAUGCACUGCAUAUUCAUAAUCUACAGCAAACUGCUGAAAUGAGACUGCAUGAGCCACACACCUCCCCGCAGAAGCAGGGCCAAACAGACACCGAAUGUAACAGACAAAAAUGAGAAGGUAAUAUGAAAUGAAGACACUCUAAUGAAUGACUAUAGCUUUAACUUAAUCUGUUAGAGCACUCACAGGCAAUGAAAAGAAAAUGGCUUCUGCCCAUUUGGCCUUCGUGCCGCUAAUUUUUCUAUUCCGAGAAGCAGCACCAAAGCAUUUUGUGGUAGGGAACUGAAAGAAGUCUGAGGAAGCUGGUAGGCGGAUUCUGAUGAAGAUGCUAGUGUUGGUUUAACAGGAAUCAUCACACCGUAAUGCAAAUGAUUAGAUAGUAUAACAGAUUCAUAGGAUAUAUGAAAACUUUCCAAAGACAUCACACUCUCUUCCCUCUUGAAUCACAUUAACUGAACAACAAUAUGAUCAGACCAGAUAAAAAGCAAACAUUUCUAUACGCCUACAGGCUUUUUCUCAAAAAAAUAUAAAAAAAAGUAUCUAUCUAUCAAAAAGAGAAGAUAGAAGAAUGCACAUUCUCCACAAAAAGUCUAAAUCAAUCGUCGAACAAAUUCACCAUCGAUCCAGGUCACAGAAGAAUCGAUCUUCAUCAGCAAAUACAUUCCCCUAGAAGUAUAAUUUUACUCACCAGGUAUAAAUAAUAAGUCUUUUUUAUGUUUUUUGAAAGCCUAUAUUCGCCCCUGGGUAUUCUCUCGGUCAUCGAACACGUUCACCAUCAACCCAGUGUAAUGAAGGAAGGAUCUUUGUCACCAACUGUCCAAAGUUCUCACUAGAAACCGGAUUCCCCUUCAUAUUUAGUUGCUUUAAAUUUAAGGACUUAAACAAUAGCAUCAUCUCCCAGUGAUCUGCCACAUUGAUAUUAUCCUUCUGAAGCACUUCCAUAAUUCCUUUUACAUCGAAUGUGUGCGAUAAAGGAGAUGAGCACAGGUACCUAGUAGUGUCUACAGGGUGAGCACCAAUCUCAUUGAAUGAUAAAUCCAAAACCCUCAAAGAGCUUAGCCUUUUCAGGGGCUCGAGUGAGGUAAAGCUGCUGAUUUGAUUGUUGCUUAGGUUUAAGCAGAUAAGAAGUUGCAAUGCUUCCAGACCUGUCAACAAAGAAAAAGAAGAAAAAAAAAAAAAACAACCAAGGAUUACUUUUAUUUGCUUUUUUCCUUUUUUCUAAAACGGGUGAAAUUAAGAUCUAUAGACACUUAGAGACCUUACUACAGGAAAGCCAAAAGAUCUAACCUGCAAUUGAUCUAAGCUUGUUGUGACUAAGAUCCAGUAUCUGGACCCACAACAUGCGUUCAACAAACCCGACACGUGUUAAUGAUAGUCUUCUAAGCUGUAAGCAAUUAUGGCGGCGAAAAGUAGAGAAGUUUGGAUUAUCAUAUUGCCAACAAUAUUUCACCAAAGACUCUUUGUCUGAAGUUACCUGCAGAGUGAAAGUGAAGUUAAAAUAAGCUGGGAAACCUCAAAAGAAUUUCCAAAUGGUAAACUUCUAUUGAAUUAUAUGAAAUAUCAAAGACAUGCUCAAUAUUAGUGGAAGAAAAUCAUCUUAAAAAAGACAUAUAUUUCCAGCAGAAAACUUCACAAAGCGAAGCUUUGCUGUAGCUUUGGCUUUCCCACCUACAUAAAACUAUAAAGAGUCAUGUCCAAUAAUUUUGGAGUUCAAAGUCACUUGCAUGUAUCUAUCCCCAAAAAGAUUUUUUCCAAAGCCGGAUUUUAUGUAGGAUAAGGAAAUCUACAUCUGUGUCGCGCUGAACCCGAACAUAAAGGCAGACAAAACAGAUAUCACUCAAACCAUUUUCACCCUCACCCUAGCAUCAACUGAAUAAUACAUGGUUAAGAAGUGUAUACGAAAUGAUUACCUGAUCCAAUAGAACUAAGCUCUGUUCGUCCUCAUAAUACCUUUUAUGAGAUGGAUCUAAUUUGAUCAAAUCAUCAAAGAGCUCUAAAGCCUCCUCACAGUGCUUCCUCUUUUGUUGUAGAGAAUUUUCAGGAGACUUCAUUGCAUCAUAUGCAAUCAAGAGGCGUGCUAAUGUUAACUUCACAAAUUUACUGCAAAGAACGAAUAAUUUACAGACAAGAAAGCAGCCGAAAAAUGAAAAAAAAAAAUAGAAACAAUGAAAAUAAAGGUAAUAAUAAUAAUGAUAACACUAACCAAUUUUCUUCAGACAUCUCUUUAAAUAGAGUUAUCUCUUCAGACAAAGUGUCGAAGUGCCACUUUAAAUCCUCUUUCAGUGCAUCAUCAUUGAUCUUUAGCUGAUCAAAUGAAGUGAAAUCUGAAUUUUCCUGAGAAUAGAAUUUUUCCGAAUAAUUCCAUGAAAACGGCUCCUGAGCCAAAUUUCCUUGAGCCUGCUCUGGAACAUUAUGAUCAAACUCUACGCUAAAUUUGAACUUCGAAGGAUUGUAAUGCAAGCCACUAACUGACACAAUACCCUCCGAGCAGCCAACUUCUACUUCAACUGAAAAAGUUUGUGAAGUACUGCAAUUUCCCUCGAGAAUCAUAAGAUAAGUAGCCCAGCAAUUGGCUUCCCCCAAAUUCGAAGCCAAAAGUGGCUUCCAAGUAAGAUCUUCGUUCUUGGCCAACUCCGAACUCACCAUCACAGUGGAUGAAGUUAUUCCUUUGACGGGUUUAUUGAAAUAAAGAACGAUUGGGAGGGUUUCCCUUUGAAAAGGGUAUAGAAAGGAAUUGCAAUUAUCUUUUUCCUUAACUAUAGGCAGAACAAGCUUUGAUUGAUGAAUGGGCCAUGAAGAGAUUAGUUUUAGCUGAUCCCCACUACAUGUCUGAUCCAGAAGCCACAAGUGAUAAAACCACCCACUUUGAUCACUUGGAUCCGUAAAAAGAGCUUGACGCACUAGCUCAAGCUCCUCUGAUAAGAUCUUCUCCUUUGACUCGAACCCAUUAGCCUUUUUCCCCAGCAAAUGGGAGAGAAGAAUACUGGACACAUGUCAAGUUAUAAAAAAGCUAAAAUAUAAGAUAUCCUCUGGCAGAAGCUAUUAUAUAGUAAACUUCACAAGAAAAUAUGAGAAGAAAUAUUGAAUGAGGCCCACAGUUUGCUAACUAUCAUAUGCAAUCAAAACAAGUGUAAAGAAUUGAUGCAAAUGCUCUACACUUAAUAAUUAAACGACUAAUCGCUAAGAACCAAAAGGCAAACAUAUGACUAAUUAUGAAGAAUAAGUUGGAUUUCCUAUCCGAACAAUGGUCCAUUACCCAUCUUUGUGGGAUAGAAAAGCGCAUUCAAGAUUAUUCCCUCCUGCCUCUAAACGCAUAUUGCAGAUACUGAGAAAAGGUAUUCUACAAUAUUUAGUCUUAACAGUUCUAAAUUUCAUCCAUUUGCUAAUAUAAACCAAAUUCAACAACAAUGUUAAUGAUACGUUCACACCUGCGAUUAUGCCAUGCAGAAUAGUUGCUGAAAUUUGUGUUGAUCAUAUCCAUAGUAAAUCCCAGCUCCUCCUCCUCCAACACAUUCUUCAGCCUUGUGACGAACCUGAACCCAAUCAACUCAAUCCAAACACCUUUACAUUCCCAAAAAAGAGAACCUUUACAGAUCAAAGAACUACCUUCGGUAGCUCCACCCAUGGAAAUUCCUAGCAUCAGCCUUUAGCAGCUGAUCCAGAAGCCGGAACUCACGCCCGAAGUCCACCUCCGCAAGCUUCUGAUUCAACACCCAUUUCCUGUGAUACCAAGCCCCGUAAGACUUGGGAUUCCUCCUCAACGCCGCCUCUACCUUCACGAAUUCCCAAUAAAAACCCCACCUUUAUCUAAAUUAACCAAGUGGAUACUUAAAACCAGUUCAAAAAACACACAAAGGAACAGAAACCAAACCACUCUGAGCUCAUCCUCGACAGCCGAUUUGAUGGCCUCGGGAUCGGAGACUCCGUUGAGACUGUGCUGAAGAGCGAGCUUUCGAUAGUUCCACGCGGUGUAGAUCUCGGGGUUGACCUCGAUAAGCUUCGAGCUCGCCAAAAGAGCCUCCUUUGUGUAUCUAAAGAACAACCCAGAUGAGGGACCGUCGUAAGGCUCCCAAAUAAGGCCUCAAAAUAUGCGAUCAAGAGCUCUUUUGCUCCAUGAGUGGAUCUGGAGAGAGAGAGAGAGAGAGAGAGGGAGAGAGAGGGAGAAAAGGAGAAAAGAGGGAGUUAAUAUACAUGCGAUUUUGGUGGUUUUGGAGGAGGAGGGAUUGGAGUUCGUGGAGUUUCGAGGCCUUGGCGGCGGCCGCUGCGGCGUCCUCGGGCUUGGGGGAUCUCCGUGGGCGCCCGUGCAUGGCCUCUUCCUCUUCUUCUACGUCGUCGUCGUGGAGGGGAGGGGGAGAGGAGAGAGAUGGAGGCGUUAGGGUUGGGACUAGAGAGAGAGAGAGAGAGAGAGGUUCUGUGAGGGAGACGAAGACGACGAUGGCGUGGGUCUAAUUCCGGCUCGACGUAAGAGGUUCGAGCUCGAUCGUUGAUGGAUUCGUCUCCAAAUUGAAAGUGGUGGUGUGAACUGUGAACUGUGAACUGUGAACACGCACUACUCUUUAAUAAUAAUAAUAAUAAUAAUAAUAAUAAUAAUAAUGAGUCCGUUAACUAAGCAACAGGCGCAUUCACAUACACUGCAAUAAAAAUAAACAAAUAAAAACAGUUCAUAAUGUCAUAAAAAAACAAAAGCUCUAAUCUUAUACCUCUAUUUUUAUCCAACAAAAAUUUAUUAAAAAGUUUUAAAAAAUAGAAAAUUAUCUCUGAAUUUUUACAAUAUACACUGGAGUCAAAUUUAUUAAAAAGUGAACUUUUUCAAUAUUAGUGAAACACAGUUUUUACGCAGGUAUACAUUAUUAGGUACAUAAUUAUCUUCCUUAAGGAGAGGGAAAAAAAAAUCAACAAAUCAGGAAACAACACUUAAGAGUGAAAAGAGAGAGAGAAAAUAAAUUCAAUGUCCUCAUUUACAUCUAACAGCAUUAAAAAGUAAAAAAUUGGCAAAGAAAACACUUAAUUGCUUUCAUCAAAAGCUCUCGCAGAACCAAAAAAUAUCAAAAAAAAGAAAAAGAAAAGAAGAAGAAAAGACUAUAAAUCUGUUCAUGAAUGUUUGAUCUGAGUUAUUCCAUCACAUGUUUCUCAACUACAUAUUUACAAGGAUUAUUACUAUUAGCACCACCUAAAAUCCUCUCCGCUGCAAAAUAUAAAAAAGCAACUCCUUUAUAACAUCUCUACAAUUAUCAAGGGCUACUCCCUACUAUUAAGCUUCCAAACAAUACAGACCUAAAAUAUAUACACCCAUGUCGAUUGUCCACGGAGAAAAAAAAUUAAAGAGAAGAGUCAUAGCCAAGAUAAAAGGUGAAUGACUCCAUGAUAGAACUGUAGAUGAAUAAAUUGCACCAUUGGUUUCUAAACUUUUGCGGGAUAUACAAUUUGGCCUCUGAAUUUUUAAGGCGCGCAUUAGACAUCCCAAACUUUUUAUAUCGUUUCAGGUGAGUCCCUCUCGUCAUGCGCGAUCUGGGAUGUGUGGUGUACACUUUAGAAGUUCAGGGACCAAACUAAAACUCGGCUAACAGUUCAAGGAUUAGUGGUGCAAGUUAUUCUAUUGAAGAUUGAUCAUCUUCUUCUUUAAGCUGUAGAUUGAGCUGAAGCAGCUCCAUUAUUCAAGGGAGACUUCUCGAACCCAGACACUUCAGCUGCUUUAGCCUUGUUCUCAGAGGGGUCUAUGCUCGGGUGAUUCAUGGAAAGUGGCUUCUGCAUUUCAUGCGGGUCAGCCUCAUUAUCUUGUUUCUCUGUAGAUUUGGAUUUAAUGAAUCGACCUCCGGAUCCCCUAGCUCUUCUCACCGCAUGCAAGUGCCGAGAUUCAUGAAGGUAGGGCUGAAAAAUAUGCGAAAAUAAAAUUGUUAUCAGAGAUCUAAGAGAACAUGAAACUGUUAUUUACAAAAUAUUACGACAUAAUUCUUUAGUAGCUAAAGCUUUUAGAGGAUAAUAAGUGUUUCUCAUGGUAUCAGACAAGAACUUCUUGAGCUUGAGUUCCGCCGAGACAUGAUCACAAAGAUAAGAAGCAACUAAUUACUAAAGAUCAAACCUUUCGGGAUUUGAUCAGUUUGUUUUCCGAUUCAGCUUUUGCACGGGACUGGCGACGCCUUAGUAUUCCUUGAUAUUGCUUUGCAUUGACAUACACAGGCUCAACUGCAUCAUUUGUCAUCAGCAUGCUAAUUGGAGGCAAUCCCAUUGAAGGAUGAUAAACCUGAAGCCAAUUUUAUCAAUAAAAACCAGUUAAUGAAAAGCACAUAAAUUGCUCUCUAGUCCAGUCCAUAAGAGAAAAUCAGGUAAAGCUUAAAAGAUUCUCAUUUUAAGAAGUUGAAAAAUGAAUCAUACCGCAGUUUGUGCACCAUACGCAGCAAUUAUGCCUCUGCAAUACGGAUCUACAAAUGGGUAAGCAACCUGGGCCUGUAUAUAUGAGAAAGGUACAAACACUUCAGUCCAAACCCGCCAACUUUUGAAUCACUAUCUUCUAUUAUCAGCUGAGAAACCUAUUUUGUAGAGCUACUAAAAAAAUCGUGCAUCCGAAAACACAAGUUCAUAUGCAAGAACUAAACUCAACUUUUACACAAGAAAUUGGAAAACUAAUUUAAUUACACGUCACCAAACUGCAUGUUGGUUAAUUAAAAAUAACAUGCAGCUGAAAACUUUCAGCAUGAUCUCAGGUUUGUCUUCCUUAAUGUGAUUGGAGGCCCAGUGGACGGACUUAAAUUUCAAUACUCAUCUUUAAAAGAAAAUAAAAUAAAUAAGCAAAAAUAAAAGUCGAUGCUAACUAUUCUACAGGUAGGAUUAGCAAACAAUCCACAAUAGUAAAUCAAGUAUAUACACUCCCGACAUAAGCUUUUGCUUCUCUGCAGAAAAGGGACAUAAGAAGCAGUUAUUUUAAUACCACUGUUUGCCCCAUUUCUAUAUGGCCGAUAGGCACCAUAUAUUCCAUAGGCACUGAUGUUGGUCCAGGAUAAUAUUGUCCAGUUGCAGAAGAUCCACUGUGAAGCACAGAGUUUGAUUGCUUUUGUUGCUCAUUCGAUUCACUAUAAUCUGCGAAUUAAUAAAUCAAGAGAGCAGAGAAUUAAUCAGCAAUGAUAAAAAUGAACACACAAAAAGAGAAAGCACAAAGAAGCCCCACAGGAAAAGGAAGAUGGUGUUGCAACAGUCGACAGAAUAAUUAGAAAGUUCGGCUAAGUUAUAUUGCAAUUGGCGACAACAAUAUACAAAAAAAACUGCUAAAAGAUAUGAGCAUUUUUUACCCGCAGCAAGAAACAACCUUGACAGUAAGAAGAGUACAUUUACAAUUCUAAUGCAUCAUAUUUGAAACAAACCAAAACAACGAGAUACAACACGAUGCACAGGCUGUGCAAAUAAUUCGCUAAGUUUCGAAUUUGGAGAGAAAAGAUAAAAGUACCAGAUGAACUCUGAUUAGAGGAUGUCAUGACGCAUGCGAAAACCCUACAGCGGAACCGGAGACAGCAUAAUGCAGGGCAAUGAUAAUAUAGACUACUGCUCCUACAAAAAUCUGACUCUGCAUUAAGAAAUCAAAAGCUGUAUUAGUUAUCCAGCCAAAAUCUCUAUGUAAAAUGCUUUGUUUUCCAAUUAACGAAACAUGUUGAUUUCUGACAUAAGGGAAAUAACACAUAGCACCACAAAGUCAAAAAGAAAAUAUUAGGAAACCAUAGUAACAUGCACAUAAACAGAAGAUGGAUAAUAAUAUUAACUUGGUUGCAUGCCAUUAAAUCGAGUCUCUUAUUUUAUGCCUUCACUUGAUGUGUAGAAAAAUUAUUGAAGAAAUUAAAUGUGUUAUGUACAUUAGAUCCUCUAAAUCUACAAACAAUUUGGGAGUUUUCUAUUCAAACUUCGCCGAAGUCCUAGUUGCAUGAACCACUGAAUACAGAGUUGCACUUCUAGUAACACCGUAAACUUCUACAAAAACACAUCUUCAACAGAAAAAUCAACUGCGUGUACGCCUUUCUACUCGCAAUCUCCGUAAAUUUCUACGUACACCUACAGUCGCAGCAAUCUCCUAAACCCCCAAAUUCCCCAAUUUUCCUCCCUUCCAUCCACCAAAAGGAAUAAAACCCUACUAAACACGAGAUUAUAAGCACCAAUUCCAACGACAGAGAAUUAAUGAUAACACAAGUUCCAAUUAAACAGCACACAAUUCGACUUAUUAUACGGAGGAGAUCGGCAUACAUACAAGUAUCGUGGUAAUCAGAGUCGAGUAAUUUCGGAUAAAAUUCCCAUAAAUUCGAACCUACAUUGCACUUUACUGAGGAUCAAAACCGAAACACUCAUACAUACCAAAAUCCUCCAAAACCACCUAGCACAAACAGAUCCACUAGCUCCACAGACCCCAAAAACGGCGGAAUUGAACGAGAAAUCUACAUUUAAUCACCAAAUUGCAUGAAAAAUAGGUGAAUCGGAAGAUAAUUACCUAAUCAAACGAAGAAAUUUCAACCCAAUUUGAUCUUCUUUGAGGGGGAUUCGAGAGGAGAAUGUGGAUAUCGUCGUCGAAAUUGGGGGAGGAGCUAUCACGAGGGACAGAGAAGAGGCGGCCGGGGUCCAGAAUCUUCGAUCGCGCUCGCGGUUCAACGUAACGGCCGUUAGAACCGCACGGUUAUUGGCUAGCACGGGGUUGGUGGAGAGAUAACGGCGUUUAGAGGUUCCAGGGGUGCCCGUGGAUCUCUGCGGGCAGAGGAGCGCGCGGCUCAGAUGGGCGGUGGGGGCUGCCCGCGGGCAGGUGCGGGUACGUAGUGACACACGUGGGCUUUGUGUGGUGUGUGGUUCGUAGGCGCUAGUGCGUCACUAGUGGGGCUGGGGUGUUGGCACGUGUGAGGCCAUGGUCCACGUGGCGGGCGGUGAGGAAGGCGUGGGCGUGGGGCCCACUCUCGAACACGUGUGCGCCAGCGCGAGACCGUUCAUGGGCCGAGAAGUUGUGCUAUUGGGCUAUUGGGCCGAUGUCCCUAAGGGCCCGUUGGGCCCAACUUUUUGCGAUGUGGUGAGAGAAAUGGGUACGAAUUCUCAAAAUUUCAUCCGAACACGAAUCCGAAUAAAAUGGAUUUACUUGAUGCUAAAUGAAUAUAGAUUUUAGAUACAAAUAUAAAAAUAAAAAAUCGACGGAUUUGAAUUUGAGUAUGAAUUUUAUCUAUCUCCAAUCCGAACAUGAAUUGAUUUUGCAUUGUAUAUUAUAUAUGAGUGUUUGAUAUUAUAUAUGAAUUUAUAUUUUAAAAUUUUAGAUUUAAUGUAGUAUGUUUUGAAAUAUAGUAACGGCAAAUAAUUAUUUUAGGUUCGGGUUUUCUGGUUCGCGGGUUUGGGUUUUGAGUUUUUAAUCCCGUUCGGAUUUAGAUAUGGAUUUUUUUAAACAAAUCAGCUGUAUUUAAGUCCGAAAUCGGGUUUUGAGUUUGGUAAUCGAAUUCAGAUUCAAAUUUUUAAAAAUCCGUCCUGCAUCCAACCCAUUAACAUUUGUAACAAAAGCUGAGCUAAAGAGGCACUAAGAAGUAAGAACCAGCUUGAUAUUGAGAAUCAUCUAACACAACAUUUUUGUAUUUUCAAUAGAACCGUAAAAUAUAUAUCGUUAUCGAGUUGUUAGGUCUAAUUUGGAAUUGUGAGAAGAGUAUAUUAUAUGUGGUAAACGAGUGUAAUGUAAAAAAAAAAUGUUCAUUUCCAUAUGUAAAAUCACGUCACGUAAUAAAUUGAUUAUUAUAUAUAUUUAUUCCUGGUCCAUCAAAAAAUAGAAAAGCUACUCAUCUUCACGUGAGUUUUUUUUUCAUUUAAACUAUUUUUUCAGUUUUUUCCUUAAGCAUAACACUCAAUUUGAAAUUCCUUGCAUAAUGCAUUGUAUGAGGCCGAGAAAGUACGAUGAAUGCAUUGUAUGAGGCCGAGAAAGUACGAUGAAAUAUAUAUAUAUAUAUAUAUAUAUAUAUAUAUAUAUAUAUAUAUAUAUAUAUAUAUAUAUAUAUAUAUAUAUACACACACAUUUUUUUUUUCCUUUCAAAUUUAUACUUUAUUUGGACCAAAGAGUAAUUAAAGAGCAAGUAAAAAGGAAUAAUUAAGGGGAUUAUCAACNUUUGUACAGUAAUAGUGCUAUAAUAAUUAGGAACUCUAAAUUGAGGCUUUUAUAUUGGGGGAUUAAUCUCAUUUUAAUUUCCCGUUACACUAAAAGCACGCUACCUGCUUCGUUUAUUACAUUUAGAAAUAAACUUAGCUGGAAAUGUGAAUCACCUAGAAUUCAAACUUAGGUCUUAGAUAUCAAUCACUAAACCCUUUAUCACUUAUUUUAGGAACGGUCGGUACUUCGAGCCUUUUUUUGUUGUUUGCUCGACACUGCGUAUGUAACAAUUGUCGCAAAAAGUAGGACCAGUGAAAAGGAGAAUAAUAAGUAGGCAUUUAGUGCAAAUCUAAUUCAUCGUCCAUUUCCGUAAGUUAAAAAAUAAAUAAAUUAAUGGCCUAAUGUCGCCCAUUACAGUUUUUCCUAUACUUGUUAUUACCAAUCACCAUUCACUUUCACUUGAACUCAUAAUUACUCUCACACGAGAACUAAACAAAAGCGGACCAGAGGAAAAGGAUAUUUAUUGGCCGUGAAAACUAAAUAAAAAAAAGCAGCUUUUUUCUGCUUUUGAUUCUGAAUCUUUAAAAUUAAUUUUUUGAUUCUGAAAAAUAAAAUCAGAUUUUGAAAAUGAGGUUGCCAAACGUUUUAUUGAGCCGAAAAUCACUUUCUAACCUGAAAAGCAUUUUUUAAAAGCUAGACCAAACACCCCCUUAGUUUAAGUGACCUACCAUCGUACGAAAAUUUCGCGGUUCAAUUUUUGAAAUUACGGGAGUAAAAAAUGUCUUGGUUGUCAAAUUUUAAUUUUAAAAAAACUCCAAAUACUGCCUUUGUGGUUUCACACUUGUUUACUUUAGUAUAUGUAGUUUAAAGUGUAUUAAUUUAGUGUCCUAUGCUUUUAUUUUUAUCUUUUUAUUAUCGAUUUUACUAAUUUUUUUUCGUUAAAUCAGUAACAAAGUUAAAACUAAAGUGUACUAAAGUAAAUAUUCAAUAAAUCAAGGUGGGGCAUCUGAAGUUUUUUUAUAUAAUUUAACGAAAUAUUAAUGAAGAAGCUGACGAAAAGAUAAAAAUAAAACCAUAGGAUACUAUCUUGAUACACUUUAAACCACAUGGUACUAAAGAGAGAAAGUGCGAAACCAUAUGAAUGAUAUUUGAAGUUUACCCUUUAAUUUAUUAUAAUUUUAAUUUUUUUUACAUUAUUUCAAUUAAGCCUCAUGAUUCAAAUUAAUCGACUUAAUAUUAAUGUGGCGUUAAUGUGAAGUGAUAAAUAAUAGUAUUAUGGUUGAUGACGCGACAAUAGUUAUAUAUUCACUUUAAUUUCACAUUACUAUCAUAUCAAUAUUUAAUCAUCUAAAUUGAGUUAUGAGAUCUGAUUAUAAUAAUUUAUAAAUUUGCUUAUAUAAAAGUAAUGCAACAGUAUUAAUUGAUAAUAUGACAAUAAUUAAACUAUCACAUCAUUUUUUGAUUAACAAGACGAGAAAGUUCCAACUAAAAAUUACAAUAAGUUACAGACUAGAGCGCGAGUGCGGUAUAUUUUGAGGACCAAAAGUGUAAUUUAGCCUUUAUUUUUUCAAUUAAUUUUGAUUUAAAAGGGUUAUUGUUGAAGUUUAUAUAGAAAAUUUUUAUCCACUUUUGUUGGUAUUAUAGAAAGUCAAUAACUCUGACAUUAUAAUUAUUUUUUGAAUUUAUUUUACUAAAAUUUUUAUAAUAGCACAUAGAAGAUACAAAAAUAUAAUAGUUAUUUUUUUAAUUAUUUUUGUCAUUAACUAUUUUAUAAUUCGGAAGAAAAUCUAUUCUAAUAUUUUUAAAAAUAAAAUAAUGAAAAAUUUUAGUUUACGAAAACUGAAAAAAUAAAGCUCCACUUCGAGCAAACAAGUUGCCCAGCCCCUGCGAAGUGCAAAUUCCCCAUAAUGUACCCACAAAUGUCCCCACAAUCAAAUUGGUAAUAGAGCAAAAGCACGUAUUUACUUUUCUACCCCUAAAAAUUUCAAUUCGGGUACGCUUUGGGUAAAUCCAAAGAGUACAUGAUGCGUCACUCAUCCAGAUACAAAACCCAAAUAAAAAAAAAUUAAUUUCAUACAAAUCCCUGUAAAUAUAAUAAAUUACAAAUGUAUUUUUAUAACAUUCAAUUUUCAUAUAUUAUCCUACAAAAUUUCUAAGUUGAAGCACUAUUUAUUUUAUAAGUGAAAUGAUUUUUUUAUCAUCACAAAUAUGUUCCUCUAAAAAUCUCAACUGCUAAUUGAAUAGGGGUAAAAAAAUUAAUUCACCUUAUUAACUAACUAGGGUUAAGCAUUUUAUCUAAGGUUAACUAUUUUUUUCUAACGGAUCCUAACGAUAGGGACAUAUUUGAAGAUAUAAAGAUUUUUACAGAGACAAUAUAUAUAAAAAUUAAAUUUUAUACAAAUAUAUUUGUAAUUCAUUAUAUUUACAGAAAAUAGUAUGCAAUUAUUCGCAUAAAAAAAUAAUUAGUAAAAUUCCCCACCAAAAAUAUAUAUAAUAACAACUAUUUAUUUUUAAUUUUAAUUUUGUUUUGUUCUCUUGCACUCCAUCCCGCGAUUGAAGGAUUCGCUCAUCUCCCCCUUCCUCUCUCCUCGUCUCCUCUCCUAAUCUCUCUCUCCCCCCAAACCCUAAUCGAUCGAACCCUCCGAACCCUAGCUUCUCCUCUUCUUCUACUACUUCGCCCCCCCGCUUCUCGUUCCUCGCAAGGGUUUGGAGCGGCUCCUCCGAUCUGCUUCGCCCCCGUUCGAUCUUCGACAAGGUGUGGGGGGUUUUCGGCGCCACCGAGGAGUCGAAUUCUAGGGUGUUGUUAGGGUUGGUUUUGCUUUUGGAGGAGGUUUCGGUGGGGUUUGGUUGGGGGUUUGUUCCGCGGAUUUGAGUGUUUGGGAACCCUAGAUCUGGUGGUUUUGGGGCGAGGAAGAGGAAGGGAUUGGGAUCUUUUCACCGGGGCCAAGUCAAGAUGUUCUGGCGCAUGACUGGGUUGUCCGCGGCCUCGCCCGUAAGUUCACGAGCUCUUUGAUGCGUUUUUCUCUUCAUUUUUGCUUUCGCUCUCGAGUUAUGUUUAUUGGGCAUUUGAAUUUGAAUGGUGGCGCAACAAUUGAUAUCAUUGUGAAGUAUAAAUUGUUGUUUGGCAUGGUGAUUGCUUUUCGUAGUUUUAAAGAGUUGGGUUACAUUUCUCUUCAUUUUUGCUUUGGCUCUCGAGUCUUGUUUAUUCCACAUUUGAAUUCCUAUGGUGCCGCAACAAUUGAUAUCAUUGUGAAGCGUAAAUUGUUGAUUUACAGUUUGCAUGGUGAUUUCUUCUUCUUGUAGUUUUGAAGAGUUUAGGGUUACAUAUUAGCUUUUCUUAUGCGGCCAUAUUUUGGGCCCUAUGGGGCUAGUUCCUCUUAUUAUUUAGUAUACACAUGCAUCUAUGUUCCAGGGAUUCUUGUCGAGUGUAUACUUUAUGUGGAACCAAUGCUUACAAAGUAAUCAGUUUGUUAUAUACUAUGAAUGCAUAAAACUACUACUUUGCUUUCUCCAUUCUGCACCACUUUGCGAAGUUGUUUGUUUAGGCAAAUGAUUAGUUUUAACUAUGUUGGGAUCAUUUUCUACCGAACUUGCAAGCUUGUAAAGAAAUUGGGCUUGGCUACUGACUACUAAGGUUAUGUUUUAGUGUUUGUGCUUAUAGAUUAUGCUAUUAUAUAUUAAUUUGGCUCUGACUAAUAUUAUUAUUAUUUUUACUGUUUCAGUGGUGUAGCAGGUAGGUUUUGCUGUAUAUAGGAAAUUUAUCUAAUUUUGGAAGGCAUAAAAAUCCGUUCUUCAAACCAUUGUUUCUUGUUCCAGCCUUUUAGCUAUUAUUGCUAAUUGCUGUAUAUUUUUUUGUACAACUUUUUUUUAUUUUCUUUUGGCAUAACUGUCUAGUGAUGUUGUAGACAGAUGUUUAAAGAUGAUAAUCAACAUUAAUCCAUCUGUAGCUAGAAAUUAGCUUAUCUUCAAUAUUAGACUGGAUUGGACUAUUAUGUACUUUACAUCAAUUCCAUUCUCUGUUAUUUCAAUCAGAUUUUAAAUUAUAUAGUUCAGAUAAUUGAUGUCCGGCGGUCUGCUGAUGCAGUAGAUAUUAAUGUUUCAAGUUGGAAAUCACUAUGAAAAGAUGCACUCUGUUCAUUCUCUCAAUGGUCGGCUACGUUGGUGGAACUAUAGUUAAGCUCCAUACCGGUGGUCAUCUUGGAAUAUAUUACUGCUGACUUUUUUGUUCAUUAUUUAUAUUGAGGCAUUUUGUAUCGAAGGUCUUGCCACUUUCUUGUCUUGCUUUCUAAACUUCAUUCUAUUAUACGUGUAUUUGUGACUACAUCCUUUAUCUCCGUAGGUCCUAUUUUCUUCUUACUUCACUUUUCAUACCCGUAAUCUCUAGCCCGUAUUCCACUUUAAUCUAUUCUAGCAUGUCUACACCCAAGUUCUAUGUUUUUGUUUUAUCAUGAUAAUGUGCGUGCUAGUAUUGUCCCAUAUGCGAGUGCUUUUUAAUCUUUUCCAACUCAUUCUUAUUUCAAUCUCAGGUGGAUACUGUUUUAGACAAAGAGAACUAUACAUUGGAAGAGCUUCUUGACGAGGAUGAAAUUAUUCAAGAGUGCAAAGCACUGAAUACUCGUCUUAUUAAUUUGUAAUGAUCUUUUCCUCUCACUCGCAUUUUCUGUUCCCAUUUAAAAUUUGUCUUUGACUUCACUUUGAAUGAGAUCUUACUAUCUGUGCAUUCUGAACUUCUGCAUUUCGUUAUUGCUUUACCUUUUCAUUUUUGUAUGAACAAAGCAAACGAGGAUGCCUCGAUGAAUUUUGUAGUGCUAUAUUUGGAACCCGUAUUUAUGUAGUCUGAGUAGUUUGUUUUGCUUAAUCUAUUGCCCUUCUUUCUGAAGCUUGCGAGAUAGAGCUCAAGUGGAGCAAUUGAUUCGCUAUAUUGUUGAAGAGACUCCAGAGGAUGCUGAGAGGAAGCGGACCUUUAAGUAAAAUCGUUGCUUCUUUGGCAUAAAUUAUUUCUUAUAACUCUUUUAUUAGCUGAUUUAUUUUUUCAAACCUGUUACAUUUUUCUUUUUGCAGGUUUCCUUUUGUAGCAUGUGAGAUAAUUACAUGUGAAGUUGACAUCAUACUCAGGACCUUAGUAGAGGACAAAGAGGUGGGUGAUAUAUAUUUCAUUGUUAGGCUUUGAGAGUUCCAUUUUAAUACUCAGUUCCUUCUAACUUGUGUUUAUCUUUUUGUUUCUCGUUCCUGUGCAGUUGAUGGACCUACUGUUCUCUUUCCUAAAACCUGACCGCCCUCAUAGCACAUUGUUGGCAGGAUACUUCAGUAAGGUACUUUUUUUCCCCCCAUCUGCCUAUUCGUAUCUUCUGAAUUAUAUGUACCAACAAGACUAAAUUUUAUAACCAAUGAUUUUUUAUACUGUUUAUGUAACUGAAAUUUUAUGCCAAUCUUUUUAUCUUGAUACAUGUUUGAUAAAAUGAUCUUUUGUGUUGGUGCUAGGUUGUUAUAUGUUUGAUGCUGCGCAAGACAGUCCCUCUUACGAAUUACGUUCAGGUACCCUUCAUUCAUGACUGUGGACAGAGCAUAUUUCUUGCUGUAUACAUACUUUUUGUGGAGCAUUUUUCUGUUUCUAAGGUUGGAAUAGAUGGUUAAGUGUUGGAAUUUUGUGGCAGAGAAUCUCUUCUAUUUUUUUUUUAACUCAUUUCAAUUUAGGCAGAUUUUUUUUAAUAUUUAUUUAUUUAUUGAUAAAAAACCAUCCUUGAAGGGUGGGAGCAAGGUCUUAGCCCUAACUUGUCAAUUAAAUUACCUGAACCCAUUUGCAAUGUAGUAGGGGUAGAUACCCAGAUAUAUUAUUAUAGCUGGGUAUCAUGGCAGAUAUGUUAUUAUAGCUGGGUAUCAUGGCUGAUAUGUUAUUAUCAUCAUUUGUUUUUUGUGGGGUGGGGAUUGUGGGGACUUUCCUGGAAAUGAUCUUGUGUCAUCAAUCUGGUGACUCCAGACCUUUAUUUUCCACCUAAGAAGUGAAGGAUGUACUAUUAGUACAGUACCAUUUUUCUUUAUGGCCAGGAAUUGUUUUUGCUGAAAUUCAAUUUAUCGUUUUAGUUUUUAUAGCACUUCAUCAAUGCCAUUUGCAUCAGUAACUGAGAUUUGCUGCUUGAAAAUUUGUAGAUUUUAAUCUUAUUUUUUAUUAUCACUCGCCUUAAAUAUUUUGCAUCAGUAUUUCAUGCAAGUAUGAUGACAUUUUCCCUUGUUAUCUAGGGUAAUCCAGAAAUAAUUGGCCAACUUGUCGAUCUCAUUGGCAUUACAUCUAUCAUGGAGGUCAACUAUCUCUCUAAUUUAACCUUUUCUUUCCACAUUUUCUGUUGGCAUGCAUGUGAUGGUGAGCUUGCCUCGUAUAUUGACUUAUAUACAGAUACUGAUUCGGUUGAUUGGUGCUGAUGAGAGUGUGUAUUCGAACUAUGCGGAUGCGAUGCAAUGGUUAGAAGAGACAAAUGUUCUUGAGAUGAUUGUAGAUAAGUUUAGCUCGUCGGUACGUGUUGAUUUUUUCAUGAGCUAUUUCUUGUCAUUUUUCCUUUUCUGCUUAAUACAGAGUAAUCUCUGUUUGAUACGGACCUCCUUUGUUGGCUUUGUAAUGAAUAGUUAGUAUAUGAUCUUUGAAGCAGCAGCCAUUCAAUCCAUUGGAAAAACAAGGAGAAAAGAGUGGAUCCUAGAUAGAUAGGACUUUGUCCAAGAGUAUGGAUUGUAUUGUAAUAGUAUAGAUUUGGAUAUCAGGAGAAAAUUUUUGAUAUGCACGUUUGAAAAUGGGUAAUUUAAGAGACAUAGUGACUGUUUGAUUUGGUAAGACCAAAGUAUUUGGCUCGUGAUCUUGCGAAUAUUAAUUACUUCCUACUUACAUAUUAGACCGUUCUUUUGUCACCGUUUUACAGUUGGAUUUCUUAGAAGUAGCAAAUUUGCAGCAUUAACACAUAUUUUCAAGUAAUUGUGCUUAUAUUUGACUAUAACACAUUUUCACCUUUCUUGGAGAAAAUUAUUUAGUUCCUGUUUUAUUAUCUAAAGGGUUGAAUAUUUGUCCCUGUGCAUGCUGAUAAUUCAAAGAUGAUAUUGUUCCAAUUUUUGAUAAGCUUGGGUUCCUUGGAUACUCUUUUCCUAAUUACCAUAUUUAAAUAGGACUCUCCUGAAGUGCAUGCCAGUGCUGCUGAAAUUCUUUGUGCCAUAACCCGAUACGCCCCUCCUGGACUUGCUACGAAGAUAUGUAGCCCGAGGUAUCUGUUGGUUCAGGCAUUUUUAGUGUCGGCUUGUCAAAGCUUCCCAGGACACUUGUUUUCUUCCUAAAUUUGGCAUAUAAAUAUUUUCUAAUUUGUAUUUUUCCUUUGCUUGUAAUACACAGUUUUGUUGGGAGACUAUUUCGCCAUGCACUUGAAAAUUCAAGACCUAAAUCUGUACUGGUUCACUCGUUAUCGGUAUGCAUAUCCUUGUUAGAUCCUAGGAGACUAGUGUCAGCUUCCAACCAAGCAUUUCGAAGCCAACUAAGCCAUGGGACAUUGGUUACUGCUAGUACCGAGACGGUUGAUGGUAUGCUAGAGAGCUUAGGUAGGUGGUUAUUCUUCUUUUUUAAAAAAAUUAAUUUAUUUCACUAAUAAUGUGAAUGAUAUCCUUAUGUAGAUUGACAUGGAUUUCUGUGCCUUGACAGUCCUUGCUGCAUAAGUUUGUCUGCACAUUUUCUUUGUAUCUUCAGCCUCCAGGGCAUAUACUAUACCCUCUGAAUUUAAUAAAUUUUUUGGUACCAGACAACAGUAUAUCAUCAUAUACUAGCUUAUGUAUAGAAUAUUUGUUUAGACAUUAUGUGCGUGAAGUCUCGAAUAUUCGCAAUGUAAGGCCUCUGCAAUUGCCACUAUGAACCAUUGACCAUGUAACUGAUCUAAUUUAGUAAAUAUCUAAGAUGACAUUCAUAUAAUUAUUCCCAUGCAGAAAUUUGCCGAACUAGUGCUGCUUACAUGUACUCAUAUGGUCUCUUUUCCGUAGUUACCUGUGAAAUUCUGAUUAAAGCAUUUUAUUUCGGCUCUAUAUGUUUCACUAUUGUCAUCGCACUGCAGGUGAUUUACUGAAGUUGUUGGAUGUUUCUUCUUCUGAGGAUAUCUUGCCUACCACGUAUGGAUACUUAAAACCUCCCCUUGGAAAACAUCGUCUGAAGGUAUGAAUUGUCAUAGAUUUCUGGCUGUGUACUUAAACCUCCUCUAGGCUUUGACAGAGAUCCAUGUGAAGAUGCAUUAGGUAGAUGAUAGUUUGUGCUGCGAGGAAUCAUGGUAUCCCAUCAGUGCUGGUAUUGGAUCUUAAACACUGUCAUCACACUUUGAUGUGUGAAAAGGGACAAUAUAGGGGCUAAGUUUGACAUGGAUUAGAUUUUAGUAUGUUGGACCGUCCUAGGUUACAGGAAUAAUGUUAAAGUUGGUUUUUCUAGUAUCAAAUUCUGUUUAUACUUUUUCUCUUUGUUGCAUUAAUUUUUAUCUCUUUUCCGUUGUUAAUCGGAAUUGAAAUUGAUUGAUUUUCUUGUUUUCUAGAUUGUAGAGUUCAUCUCUGUUUUGCUGGCAAUCGGCAGUGAAGCUGCUGAAAAGGAACUAAGCCAGCAAGGAGCAAUAAAACGUGUUAUAGAUUUAUUUUUUGAGUAAGUGCAUUACUGUGCGUACUUUAUUAUCUGACUGGUUCUGAAUCCACUUCUUGGAAGAGAAUAAGUCUCUUGAAUUUUUUUUUUUUAACUUCGAAUUGUAUAGUUUAUAUAAUGCUUAUUCCAUAUAUAUCAUGAUUUUAUAGGUACCCAUAUAAUAACUUUUUACAUCACCACGUGGAGAAUGUUGUUGGAUCAUGUAUAGAGAGUAAGCGGAGUUCGCUUAUCGAGCAUGUUCUGAAUGACUGUGACAUUGUUGGAAAAAUACUUGAAGCUGAAAAUCAUUCUACCUUGUCAACUGAUUCUGCUAAGGUAUCUAGCUGCCACCAUAUUUAGACAAUGAUUAUACUUUCGUUUAUUCUAUCUUCUUUUCUCCACCAUUUUCCCUUCCUUUUUUGUUUCCUCCAGCCAAUCAUGCUAUUUGUGCCCUAAGGACUGGUGGGGUUUGUUGAACCUUUUUUGUGCAGCCUACAGUUCCAUCACAGGACAAGUCACCUCCAAAGAUUGGAAAUGUUGGUCACAUGACUCGCAUGGCUAACAAGCUUAUUCAGUUGGGAAAUAACAACAGCACAAUUCAGACACACUUGCAGGUUCUAUUAUCUUGCAAGUAAAUCUUUUUAAUCGAUUAUUAACCUUGAAGUUUCUGACGAUGUGAUAAAUGUGAUGUCAAGAUACCUGUGUUCCAUUAACUCGUAGCUGAUGCAAUUAAAGAAUAUUCUUUUUUAGCAUUUCUCUUUUAGCAAUUCACAUUUCUCUACUUCUUUUCAUAUGCGUUUGCAUUUAGUUAUUUCUUGCAAUUCAAGUGAAUUUUAUCAAAAAUCUCUCUCUGCAAAGUUCAUAAGCCCCUCUGCUUCCAUUGAAGAUGUAAAAGUUGUUUAAUAUGCAAGAACUACCAUUGUUAUUGUUCUCACUAUAUUAGUGGCAAAUAUUGAAUGGUUGUUGAAAUUGAUUUGCAGGAGAAUGGUGCAUGGGUUGAUUGGCAUACCAAUGUCCUGCUUAGGCGUAAUGCAGUGGAAAAUGUUUAUCAAUGGGCUUGUGGGUAGGUUCUUCUGCCUCUUGCCAAGCUUUUUCAAUGUUAUACCCGUAGAGGCAUCUUCCAAAUAAAUAGCAUUUUAAUUGUAUAUGGCGUUGGACCCAUGACCCAAAUGUGAUGAGGCGCAGCCAUGUGUUUAAAGAAUUGAGGAAUAAUAUAGUGUUAUAGAUGUUUCUACCGUAUCUGUGGAACUUGGCAAUCCUUCUCUGCUUUAACUUCAGCUGCUGGAAAGUUACCCUGAAUUUCUGAUAAUUUACUGUAGGCGGCCAACUUCGUUGCAAGAUCGAGGUAGGGAUAGCGACGAUGAAGACUUCCGCGAUAGGGAUUAUGAUGUAGCAGCACUUGCUAACAACCUGAGUCAGGCAUUCCGAUAUGGGAUUUACAGUAAUGAGGAUAUUGAAGAGGUAGGUAUCCGUCCUGUUGACAAUUGGCUUUUUGUCUCCUGUAUUUUUGCUUACUUGCUGCUAAUUUGAAACUCUGAUAAAUUACAAUGGCAACUUUCUAACGAUUGCUUACCUGCUGCUAAUUUGAAACUCUGAUAAAUUACAAUAGGCAACUUUCUAACGAUCAUUAUAACUUUCCGUUAUGAGCUUGGAUUGUGAUGAAAAGUUGAAAACAAGUAAAGGGUUUCCACAUCUUAAUAGAUAAAUGUGGGUAAAGAAGCUAUUCAAACUCGAUUUUGAUCUGGACUCAGAUUACAAGUGAUUUAUGAUAGUUUAGUGGAAAUAAAUGUAAUUUCCUUACAAGAGAGAGAGAAGGGAUAAGAAGGUGUCAUACAUAGACACAAGCAAGUGAAAAUUGGUUGUGAUAUCCUACACAAACAUUGUAAAAGUUGAGAUAAUCUGUUUUUAUCACUAUUACCUUCCUACACACACAUUGUAAAAAUUGAGAUAAUCUGUUUUUAUCACUAUCACCUUCCUCUUCAUUUGUAUUGCUUAAUUACCAGUAAGUACAUUGUGAUCUAAUUCUGUCUAACAUUUUAUUCAAUAAAAAAAAGAAACUUCUUUACAUUUUGGUGUUGGUGGGUGCAGGCUCAUGGUUCGCUUGAACGUGAUGAUGAGGUAUACUGAAGGCUGUGAUUUGCUUGCGAUUUUUUUAUUCUUGGCCUGUUUGUUAAUUGCUUUUUCUACGUCACUUUUUCCCAAUCAUUUGAUUUAAUGUUUUGUAGGAUGCUUAUUUUGAUGACGAAACUGCUGAAGUUGUUAUCUCUUCUCUUCGUUUGGGUGAUGACCAGGACAGGUAACCUAUAUUCUUGUAUGAGCCUUAAAAAUGUCAAUUAGUAUAGUACUUUUUCUAGAACCAACUGCCAACUGCCAACUACCAACUACCAAGUACUGAACUGACUAAAAUUUCUUCUGCAGCAGCUCACUCUUCACAAACUCAAACUGGUUUGCUUUCGAGGACGACAAAGCAGCUAUUGACCGUUCAAUCGGCUCCCUCGCCUCACCCUCAUCUAAUUCGGACAAUGCUUUUCCAAAUACAGACGAGUCCGACGAGGUCGUUCUCGGUGACAAAGAUGACUUGUUUGGCAAUUCCGCAUCCUCCCUUGCGUCUAACUCAGAGACAGCUUCUGGAGAAGCUGGAAGCGCAGCUUUAACAAAUGGUCCCAUCAAGGAGCACAAAGAUGACACAGCACCACUGAGUAUAAACCAAGGCGAGCAGUCACCAGAGUGGGUUGAAUGGAGAGAGACAUCGGAACCAGGUGAAGUGUCCAAGGGCCCAGAUCCUGAGGUUUCAAAUGGUGAAGUUGAACAAGAGAAAGAUAAAAAUACUGAAAAAUGUUCCCCAGAAAUGGCAAAUGGCGAUGAAGAAAAUGGGUCUCCUGAAUCCAACGUUGAGCUUAAAUCGGAAGUUGAGGUUAAACCAGAUGUUGAGGUCAAACCAGAAGUUGAGGUUACUGAAACAUUAACCGUCAACGGUGUAGACGGUAGUGAGAGUGCUGAUUCAUCUGAAUCUCCUGAACCUGCUAAUUCACCGGCCAAUGAAGUUGCUCCGGGGGAUGCAGAGAAUGAGAAGGCUAUUGAGAACGAGAAGUGAAAUGGAGUUAUGGCAGCUACAAUUUCGCGGUCCAAAACAGUGGUGCACGGAUGGCCCUUGUCAGAACACUAAUCUACUAAUGAAUGAAGGCUUUUGCUUUAUUUGGGCUAAGCUGUUGUAUUAUUUUGCCCUCUGUGGUUGUCGCUUGCCACUGUACAAAAUGAGCGCCCUCACCAACCCUAGGAAGCACCGGCAAGAUCGUUCUGAAGUACUUUUCCUCUGUUGUUUUCUCAAUUCUUUUUUCCCCCCUUUUAUUUUUCUUUUCCUUUUUUUUUUUUUCCUUUAUUCUGUUUUUGAAUUGAUUGGUGCCAAAUUUCAUCUGGCUGGUAGCUUAUAUUGUUUUUAUUUUCCAUGUACUUUUUUCUGCUUGUUGCUUGAACUGUUUAUUUAGACGGCUCUUCUCGAUUUCGCCUACGGUAGGAUUUCUGUACUCAUAUUGUCUCGGUUUGUGUACUCAUAUUGUCUCUCUAGCUCCGGACUGAGUUCUCAACAUGGUUUGUGGCAUUGGUUUUACAAGUGAUCAGUUACGGUUGUCGCUGUGCUAGUGGAUGAUGCAUCAAGAUUGUGUGUUCUGUUUCAUCUUCUUAAUCAUUAUUCAGUUGUUCUCCUCAUUGAAGAUGCAUGUUUCGUACCUCCAUAUCCUAGUUGUGUUUUGAUUCUCUUUGUUGGUCGCUAGUUGUGUGGGGGGGGGGAAGCCAUAUAUAUGCGCCUCAUCGCUCGCGGUUUACAGGUGUUACGAGUCAUCGAACUCGCAGUUGAGCUGCAGAAUCAUAAGAAGCGUCCGGAACAUCGAUAUCAAACUCUUACCUCCCGAAAAUUUGAGGAGGAUACGGAAUUACUCACAAGGAAAGAGUGGGGGACUCGGAGAUGAUUUUUUUAAAAAAAUAUUUUUAAAAAACAGUUUCCGAGCGAAGUCAAAUAUUAGAUAAAAAAAUUAACUAAUUGGUCGACAGUAUAAAUGUUUUUACAUUUAAUCCCGCAUACUUUAUUAUUAUUAUUAUAAUUAGGACUCAAGCAAGGGGUGAUGACUUUAGCACCCCCUAAACCUACCGCUCCCGACUCUCUCUCCUCCCGACUCUUUCGCAUGCGAUCACCUUCCUUCUCUGAAGCGUCGACACCCGCCCGAAAACCCUAGCUAGCGCAAAACCCUACCUAGGGUUCUCUCCUCAUCCUCCUGCACCACGCACCAAUGGACGACCCCGAGGGCGCCCUCAGCUUCGACUUCGAGGGUGGCCUCGACGCCACCGCCGCCGCCGCCGCCCAAGUCCCCCCUCUCCACCACUCCGCGGCCACCUCCUCCCUCGCCGCUUCCGACCCCUCCGCCGCCGCCGCGGCGUCUUCCGUCGCGGGAUCCGUCGCUCCCUCCGGCCCCGGCGGCGGCGCCCCCGCUGAUCUGCCCGGCGGCGGCGCCGGGCGGCGGAGCUUCCGGCAGACGGUGUGCCGGCACUGGCUCCGUGGGCUCUGCAUGAAGGGGGACGCGUGCGGGUUCCUCCACCAGUACGACAAGGCGAGGAUGCCCGUGUGCCGCUUCUUCCGCAUGUUCGGCGAGUGCCGCGAGCAGGAUUGCGUCUACAAGCACACCAACGAGGACAUCAAGGAGUGCAACAUGUAAUGAUCCCUAAUUCCCCCUCCUUUUCCCUCUUCUCCCUCUUUUCCUGUUUGUAAAGUAGUUUUUGUGUUUUGUUUGAACUAACUGUAGUGGAUGGACCUGGUUCUUAGAUGAUUUCCUGUUUGUUAUGCUUUUGGGAUUGUGAUUUAUUCAGGAUCAACUGCUGUUUUAGAAAUUUGAAACAAUUUGGUUACUUGUGGAGCAGUUUGUGAAUUUAGAUGCUGGCUCUGAAUGAAUAAGAUUUCAUGUUGAGAAGGAGAAAACAAUAGUCUUUAUGUAAACUAUUGUGCUGAGUAAAUCCUGUUAGUAUUAUUCUCUUUAGAGAGUAGUAAAACCAAAUAAGUUAAUCAUCAUUUCUUCUUCUUCUUCUUCGCUUCGUUUAAAUUUAUGAAGACCCAUCAACUUUGCUUUACUUUUUAUCUGAGUUAUUAAGAUUUUGGAUGCACAAGAAUGCAUAAGACACUUACAACAAUAUUUGAUUAGAGCUGUAGAAUCUAAGAUUCUGAUGUUAUAUUCUACUGCAGGUACAAAAUGGGUUUCUGCCCAAAUGGCGCGGAUUGCCGAUAUAGACAUGCAAAGCUGCCUGGACCUCCACCCCCUGUUGAAGAAGUCUUUCAGAAGAUUCAACAGCUGAGUUCUUUUGGUUAUGGAUCUUCAAACCGAUUUUUUCAGCAUAGAAACAAUAAUUACAACCAGCAAGGAGAGAGGCCUCAGUUGCCACAAGGUCCUGAGGUAGCUAACCAGAAUACAGCAGCAAAACAGCCAACAGCAGAACAGUCCAAUGUACAGCAACCUCAAACACAAAAUCAGCAGUCUCAACAACAACAACAACCACAGCAACAGCAAACUACUGAGAAUCAGGCGCAGAGUGUUCCAAAUGGCUUGCCGAACCAAGCCACUAGAACUGCAUCUCCCCUUCCUCAAGGUCAAUCUAGGUGUGUCUGGAGUUCAUAGAUUUACUAAAGUUUGUAAAGAACUUUUUUUUGUAGAAUUUUAUGGUUAAACAAUUUCUGAACUCUGAAGGCUCGACUCUACUUGUAUUGAGCUUUCAUGGAGCCUGCAUAUUAACUUCCUGAUUUGUUUGUUUUAUUAUAGAGUGUUAAUAAAUGAGACGAGAAUCAUAUUAUUUGUUUUCUUAAGCCUUGGUUUGAGAGAAGGUUGAAUUAUCGUAUUUCUCUGCUUCUGUAAUUAGUUGAGAGUUAGUGGGGCCAUCCGUGGUGCAUAAAUACAUGGCUGCAGAGAGAAGGCUUAAAUUAUGUGGAUGGAAAACAUUGUUUGUACGCUGCCAAAUUUCUUGCGUUUGAAUUCGAGGUUGUUCCUUGUAAACCGCUGUUUGUUGUUAAUGAUUAAGCUGAAACUAUCACGGUUGGAAAACAUUAUUAGUCAUUACAAUUUUAUCGAUGGCAGUUAGAGUUUGAAUUGUACACAUUUUAUGUCCUGAUAUGCUGAUUCGUGAAUGCAUCUGCAGGCUGUCAUAUGUCUCUUUGUUAAUCAAAAUUCUAGCGAAACUAGAUUACAUUUCACAAAGCCCUUUUUUUCUUGAUGUUGUUAUUUUGCUAGCUUUAAAAUGUUUUUUAGCCUAUCUCAUUUCUAACUACUGCAGGGAGCAUUGUAAAACUGCUCUUUUUUUUUCUUUUUUUCUUUUUUUUUUUUCUGUUUUUGUGAAACUUGUUAUGAUAAGAUCUGAUUGUAAGUGUAAUUAGUAACCUUUUGUGGGGACUUAGAUCCUUUAGGAAACUCGUUGUAGAUAAGUUUCGUUGAAAAGGCUAUAAAGUUCCUAAUGCAAAUUUCUACCUAGUGCUUAUCCUUACUUUUUGCUUUACUGAUAGUUGAAUAUUUAUUUUGGUGGCUGAGCCAUUUUGCGUCUAGUGCAAAUCUUUCAAUAGAUGGUUCUAUGUCAAGAUUAAAGAGAUGUUUGUGUUAGUUAGCUUGACAGGCAGCAUUAAUUUUAAAAUUAAAAAUUACAUCUCUAUAAAGCAACAAUUAUAGGUCUUUUGCCUGUAUGCUAUACCUAUCAGAAUUUGAGUAGUUAAAAGCAGCAUUUUGGAAAUUUUCUGUCUGGGAUGAGUAUAUUAAGAUGAAUAUGUGGAUUUUACUAGAGAAUAGGGAAGAAAUAAUUGUCUGUAAUAAGUCACGUAUAGAAGCUAACAAGAUACAGAGGAUAAGUUCUAUGAAAUUUGAUUGAGAUAGUUUUAUUCAACGUAGAUCAAAUAGUGCUUCCAGUAGUUCACAAAGAAAUGUGCCUUGAGAGUAAUGAGAAUGAUUUGUCAAAGAAUCUUGCCUAAUGUAAACAUUUAUUGAGGAAAUACACUUCAAUAGCCGGUACUAGAACCAUAGUUGUUGCUCUUGUUGUUUUGUUUGCUUGCUUGUUUGCAUGAUAAUAAUACUGUUAAUUUAAUCUUGAAAUGACCUAGGAUAGUAAUUUGUCUUCUUAAUCCAAGAUCAAGUUAGAGUUGAUUUUCAGUUGUGCUUUAGAUCAGGCCGCAUCUACCUUGUAUUGGUGUGCUUCACGUUAAUCCAAGGUCAGUUUGGAGUUGAUAUUUAGUCGUGCUUUACAUCUGGCUUCUGUCAUCUUAUAUUAGAAUACCUGCUUCCAAUUCAAAAUUUGCAGUUUUAUUAGAACCUUUAUUGCGUUUUCUUAAAUUCUGCAACACAUCUGUGGUUAGAUUUUUGCUGCAAUCAGUUGAUGCUUUUCUAACCAGCAUUUUUGGUUGAAAUAUGUAAAACUAGGUAUUUUAUUGUUAAAAGUUGCAAUCGAGAAAAUCUGGAAAUAUCGGUCCAGCAGGGUAUUUGGGCAACUCAAAGGAGUAAUGAGGCUAAACUUAAUGAAGCUUUCGAAUCAUCAGAGAAUGUCAUUUUGAUAUUCUCAAUCAACAGAACUCGUCAUUUUCAGGUUGGUUAAAUUUGUUGCAUCAUACCAACCCUUAAGAUUUUUUUUUUUUCUUUCAAACAUAAAAUCUGAAGUUAUACAAUUUUUUGACAUAAAUGCUGAGUUGUGACUGAAUUCACAUUAUUACUCAAGGGUUGUGCAAAGAUGACUUCAAAGAUUGGUGGAUUUAUUGGUGGAGGAAACUGGAAAUCUGCUCAUGGAACUGCUCAUUAUGGUCGGAAUUUUUCGGUAAAAUGGCUUAAGGUGUGAUUAAUUUGAUGGUCUUUGCAUGGUCUAUCUUGACAUUAUUUAAUUUUUAAAUUUACGAGUUAAAAACCAAAUUUCUGAGCAUUUAUUGUGCCUGCAAUAGCUUUCUAUUUUUGUCUGUUAUCCCUUUUUUCAAUAAUUACAAGUGCAUAUCUGUUUGCAUGUCUAGAGUUUCUGGAGUCAAAAUACAUGUAGUUUAUGAUUAAUAAAAAAAUUCUUUUUCUUUGUUCACUAGUUACUACAAAUCAUUCUUUUGAUAUUUUCCUAUAAUCUACUCAUGGUGGUCGCUACCUUUCUUUACUAUGCUGUAAAAGUUAUUUACCUUUUCUUAGCAAGGAAAGUUGAACGUCUAAAUUUCAUGCUUCUAGUCCAUGUAUUGUAGUGAUGUAUGAAAAAGUGCAUUUUGACCAAUGAUCCUCUAAAUUAAAGUUUUAAGAUAAGAUGAUGCCUUAUUUAGGCACUAAUUAUUCUCAUUCUGUGAUGUUUAAUACUUAGGCUCCUGUACUACCAGAUAAUUCUUUUUUCUCCCCCUGGGAAAAAAAAAGUAGAAUUCUUCUGUUAAUUUUCUUUUAUUUUGUUUCUGACAUGAUUUUGCUCUGCAGCUGUGCGAGUUGUCCUUUAAUAAAACCCAUCAUCUCAGGAAUCCAUACAAUGAUAACCUACCAGUAAAGGUACGCUUUGGUAUUUGGUAAUAUGAAUGUCGACAAGACUCAGUUCUCUCUCCGAGUUUUAACUUAUAUGCAUACAUAUUUAUUCAUCCUUCCUCGAAAGUUCUGAAUUCAUAUUAGGGCAAUUUGAGAUAAGGACAUGGGUUUGGCUAUUUUAUUCAAGAUAUUUAUCUCGUUAUCUAUCUGGUUAAAAUCUUAGCAUUAAAUAAAUUCACUCUAAAAUUUUUGUACGAUAAAUUGCUUAUAACAUGGUAGCUAUCCUUAUUUUUGCUUCAUGAAUUAUAAAGUUCAUUACUAAUGUAAUUGUUCACCUCAACAUAUAAUGGUAUAGACUACUAACAAAAUAUCAAAUAUCGACCGUCUCCAGCAGCAAUGAUGGAUUUCUUAACUUUUGCAGAUCAGCCGAGACUGUCAAGAGUUGGAACCUUUUAUUGGCGAACAAUUGGCUUCUCUGCUUUAUCUAGAGCCAGAUAGCGAACUCAUGGUAUGCUAGUAUUUUGUUUGCAUAUUUCCUGUAUGCAGAAUUUAUUAUUGCAUCAAACUCUCUGGAUUUAAAAAUUUCAAAUAUUAUGUCCACUAUGGGCUUGGGCUGGAAAACCAUCUUUAUGUAUACAUUUAACUUAUCUAUAUAUGUGUCUCCCGAUUGCAAGGUUGACAUUUGCUUACACAGCUUCAUGAGGUUAGCUACGACAUUAGCUGCAAGAGGCAGGAUUACUUGAUGCUUUUUUUCAAUAUAAUAAAUAAGAAUUCUCUUUUCUUAGGAACCCUGGUGGUCUUUUUAAGCAUAUGUUGCAUGCAGAGUCCUCUUUCUCAUAAUCAGUCGUUGCACCAUAUUUCCAUAUCAUUAUUACAUAAUAUUAGUGUUAGAGUUGACCAUAAUUUCUCAAAACCUGACCUCUUCAUAAAUUAGCAAUUAUUGUAGUAGAUUCUUUUGUUAGGACUUAGGAGUUUGUAAUCUGCGCUCAUGGUGUACUCACUCAUGUUAGUAAUUUACCAGAAUGUAAUUCCCUUUCCUAUAUGUGUUUAUAGCUGUAUAUCAUUGCAAAUUCAAGCCAAUUUGUUGUCUAAAUAUCUGUACACGAUUUGUUCGGUCAGAACAGAAACUUCAAAAUCUCCUCUAAUUGGUUUCCUUGCAAAUGAGUUUGCCAAAUUUGAAAACCCUAUCUUAUGUAUGAUGCUAUGCACUAUUCAGGCAAUGCUUGCCGCAGCUGAGUCUAAGCGUGAAGAGGAAAAGGCGAAGGGGGUCAAUAAUGAUGAGACAGCUGAUAAUCAAGAUAUUGUGCUCUUCGAGGACAACGAAGAAGAGGAGGAAGAAGAAAGUGAGGAAGAAGAGGAGGGCAACAGCCAGGGCCCACAGGGUCGGGGGAGGGGAAGGGGCGCGAUGAUGUGGGGACCGCAUAUGCCAAUGGGAGUCCGAGGUGGGGGUCCAAUGCUCGGAGUUCGUGGUUUCCCUCCGGUCAUGAUGGGCGCAGAUGGGUUUGGCUACAAUGAUGGCUUUGGCAUGCCUGAUCUCUUUGGCGUCCCUCCUAGGGUUUUCCCACCUUUCAACGGCCCGAGAUUUUCUGGUGAUUUCUCCAGAACUGCCCCGAUGCCAGGGAUGCUCUUCCCUGGUCGGCCCCCUCACCCGGGGUCUGUCUUCCCGAUGGGUGGGCCGCUCGGGAUGAUGAUGGGGCCCCCUAGUCGGGCACCGUUCAUGGGGGGAAUGCCGGGCAUGCCAAUGGGUGGACUGGGUCGGUCCAACCGCCCGAUGAUGCACCCGCCGCCCCCUCUUCCGAAUAGCCGGGGCCCGAGAAGGGACCAGAGGAGGCCGGGGAGUGAUCGGGGCGGCGACAGGUAUGAGAUGGGAUCAGACCUAGGGAGCAGGGGUCAGGAUACAGCAGACGAGAUGGGCUAUCAGCACGACACAAAGAUGCAAUCCGACGAUAAGUUUGGCGGCACCAGAAAUAACAGCUUCCAGAACGAGGACAGCGAGAGCGAGGACGAUGCGGCGCCGCGGCGGUCGAGGCACGGGGAGGGCAAGAGGAGGCGGCGGGCCUCCGAGGGUGAAUCUCCGUCAGAAUCUGAACAUCAGAACCAGUGAUGGCGUUUCCUUUCUUUACUUUUAUCCAGAGAUUUUUUUUUUUUCCCUCUCUCUCUCUCUGGGUAUUGCACUUCUCAUCAUAUUUCUUUUCUUGUUCUAUGACCUGUAAUACUUAUUAACAGUCUCCAUCACUGGAGCCUGUUGUUUGCUGAAGUUAGGCUGAAACUCAACUAAAUAGGAAACAGAGUUACGUACUAUGGAUCUGAUUUGAGGGUGACUGAGGUGGGUGGAUGAAUUUUGUGAUUAGUAAUAUUCGAUGUGUAUAAUAACAUCAAAUCACAGCAAAGAAUACCCAGAGAUGAUUGAAAUUAUUAUUAAAUUACUGGAAAUUGUGUAGUAAGGUGAACUGUAAACUUGCUGUGUACUCUCAAAAUUUCUCCUGUUUUGAGAGCUUACCACGAUAUUUCUCUCAAAAUGAUACUGUUUUCUACUUGAUUUCUUUCUUGUAACAAAUGUGCAUGUCCUCAUUAAGAAUUUAUGCAAGAUAAAUGAUAUUUAAUCGCAUCAAUCUUUUUCUCCUAGCUUGGAUUCGCAUUUUCUCUUUGUAAUGAUUUGGUGAAAUGGCUUAACAAUGGCUUAGGUUGUGUUAUGUGUGGAGUUGAGAAGGUGAAUGGUAGAGCAAAUUAUCCAGUGAUAAAAUGUGGGUUAUUGAAAUUUUCUUUUGUACUUGCUACUUAGAAGCUUGCUUUAGUCGCUCUGUUUCAUGAUUUCUGAAAAAAUAUAUGUCACUUGAAAGAUGAUUUAUUUAUUUAUUUUAUUUUUCCCCCAAAAUGUCCUUAUUGUCUUAUUAUUUCUCUCUUUUUUUUUUCAGAAUUUUCUGAAGGGGAUUGGGUUCGGAAUUUUAUUGACUAUUUUCGUUGCAAUUUCCUCAUGAAUUGCACAAUUACAUCUGAAUAAUAAGACGUGGUUGAAUCACUGCGAGUGACUAUAUUAAUAACUUAUUUAUACAAUGUUAGAUAAGAAAAAUCGUGUGCUUCGUAAACAAGCUAAGAUAGUGGAUAUAUAUAUGAUGCAAAAUGCACACAGAAUGAUAUGCUAUCUAAAUUGACCUAGGCUCCUAUACUUUCGAAAAAACGAAAGUUUUCGUAUUUGUAAAUUAUUUUUUAUGAUGAAACAUUUGAUUCAGUUAUCGAUUUCGUUAGACUAGACAUAAUCUAUGCUAUUGAAACUAUUUAGAAAUUAAAUUUUAUAAAUUUUUGACUUUAUUUGUCUAAUGAACGAGAACGAGUAGCUUAAAAAUAAACGACUGAAAAUACAAAUUUUAUAAAAAAUAGUGAUAAAAGAUUUAAAUUUCAAAUCAGAAUUAUUAAUUUUGCUAUUGAUGUUAAAUAAAAAUUUUUAUUAAAGAUUUAUGUAAUUUAGAUUGUUCUACAUCGUUGAAUUUGAAAACAUGUGACAUUAAUUAUUAAAAAAAAUUAAUUUUGAGACCGUUUGAUCACUUGAUAAAUACCGUCAAAAAAUUAUGAAAUUUAGUUUUUAGAUAAUUUCAAUAGCGUAGAUUAUUUCUAACGAAAUCUAUCGUCGAAUUGGAUAUGAAAAUAAUUUUUAAGUACAAACGCCUCAAUACUUUGGAAGUACGAAACGUGCUCAUCUAAAUUAUUGAAUUAUUAAAUCAGAUAAUGAUUUGAGUACCUACACCCUACCCGAUAACUUACCGAUAUAAACCCGAAUCCGAGUCCAAUGUAGACAGGAUCCAAACUCAACCUGAACCGGAACCGGUUUACAUUGUGGUGCGGUUAACUCGAACCGCGUCGAACCAACUAUAUAAACGACUUCGUCUCCACCCCCCACGCCCCAUCUCCAUUCAUAAACCCUAAUUCCCAAACCUAACGGGAGGUGCGCUGCUCCUUUUUCACGACGAUUAAAAUCUCUCUUUUUUCUCUAUUUUCAUUGGAUUCUUAAUUUCUAUCCUUUUUUUUCUUCCAGGUUUCAAUCGACCGUGAGAACAAUGGCGGCGUAAGUAGACUGAUCUUUUAAUCUUGGUUACUCUUUUAUUGAGAUUUUCUCGUUAUUUUAGUAAUCUGUGUGUAAUCUACACUACAACUUCAAUCAUGCAGUUGUUGCGAUAUGUGGGGAUGAAAAAGUUGGGAUCUUUGGAUUAAAAAUGUGUGUUUUGUUUCUUUAUUCUGGUUCGAGCGUAUGUUUUGUUGAAAAUAUGUGAAAAAUCAGUUGAUGAGCUUAUGAGUGUUACAUAUAAAUUUGUUAAUUUUAAAUGUUGGCUUUAUAUUUUUAUGUUAUUUUAGAAGAAUUAUUAUAUAGAGCUAAGUUAUUGAAAUUGGUAUCUGGAAUGUAAUUUAACCGGAGUUUACACUAGAUUCUGCUUUUGAUUGAGUAUAUUGAAUGGUAGGGUGAAUUAGAUUCUUUAUAUCUAUUCUAUCAGUUGUUAGAUUGUUCGGUCAAUAAUAAAUUGCAAUAGCAACUUCUUAGAAUUUCUGAUUCAGAAUGCAAUUUUUUCUUUUGUUUUUUUUCCCCCUUCCACGCAAUUAAAACAAACCUCAACCCAUGCUUUGCAUUUUUCCUUCUUUAGUGUCGCCUCUAUGUCCGCACUGAAAUAAAAUGUUUUACAUCUAAGCUGUGAUAAGAGGCAUUAUUCGUGUCUAAACUUGUCGACGGCACUGCCAUUUUGUACCUCCUGAGAUUUUCUUAGUUGCUUUUGAUUCAGUAGUAGCAUUAUUAUUUGUAUCUCCUGAGAUUUUCUUAGUUGCUUCUGAUUCAGUAGUAGUUUCAUCUCCAUGUAUCCUUACAGACACUGCAUUUUCAACUUCUGUUUUAGUCCAAUGUUGUCGCAACUAACCUAGAAAUCCAAAAUCCGUAGUUUAGGUGUGUUUUGAUUGUUUGUAUCACUUCUGUUAUCGUAACUCUAUUUUCUGCUGAAUCAUUUCACGAGCAUUAGAGAUUGACUAUUUUUUUUUUCGUUAUGCGUACUAUAUGACGGCAGUGAAGAUGGUGUUGCGGCUGAAGUAUCUGCCACUCCAGUUCUUGGAGAGCCCAUGGAUCUAAUGACGGCUCUGCAACUGGUGAUGAAGAAAUCACUGGCGCACGAUGGGCUUAUUCGCGGGCUUCACGAAGCGGCCAAAGCGAUAGAGAAGCACGCCGCGCAGCUUUGUGUUCUCGCCGAGGAUUGCGACCAGCCCGAUUAUAUCAAGUUGGUCAAAGCCCUUUGUGCCGAUCACAAUGUGCAUUUGGUCACUGUGCCGAAUGCCAAAACUCUCGGCGAGUGGGCAGGGGUCAGUCACAUUAUUAAUAUCAAACUCCAACUUUAUUUUAUCGAAAUACUUAAAAGUCCAUCUGUGACUUUUCUUACCAUGCUUUUUCUGCUUAAAAUAAGACGAUGUAUUGAAUCGCAGCUCUGCAAAAUCGACUCGGAGGGAAAAGCGAGAAAAGUUGUAGGUUGUUCAUGUGUGGUGGUCAAGGUAAAGGAUUAUUUAGUCGUUUUUAGUAAUCCUUUUUGUUUGUUUUUUUUUUACUGUUGUGUGUGAUGUAGUUGUCUUAUGAUGUUAUAAUUUUCAGGAUUAUGGCGAGGAAUCGGAGGGCCUUAACGUCGUGCAGGAGUAUGUGAAGGCUCACUAAAAAAACUCUUGCAGCUUUUCACAAGCGAAUCGAACGCUAUGUUUUUCUUACAGUAUUCAGGGAAUGUUUAAUUUUUUUGAGACACCACAACUCAUUUAGAUUCUGGAAUGUCUGUUUUAGGUUGUGUGGAAACCAGUUAAUGUGGAUGGAUGGAUGGAUAUUUCUUGGUCUGCAAUUUGCUGUUAAUUUUUUUUAAGAAAAUUAGCAAUGAAUGAUCAGUCAUGUAAUGCUUGAUUUGGUAAAAUCUCUUCUUUUUUUUUUUCCCCCCUUUUUGCAUAAUUGAAGAUGACUAAAUAUCAUUUCAUUUGUCUCAAUUAUUUUGGGUUGAUUAGUUCUGGGAGAAACACAUUGCGGAAAAAUUCAGUCCAAAAUAAUGGUACCAUUAAUUAGAUUCAAUACCUGGUUGAUAUUGUUGCACAUGUUUGUCACCUCAACAAAGUCAUCAUAUAGAAAAAGUGAUAAGAUUAUGAAACUUUAACAUUUUAAAGUUUCAGAAUGUUCAAUUAAUAUAAUGUUUUCAAGAGAAUUUUUACAAGCUUUGUGUGCUUCUCGACAUUACACAUUACAAAAGAACAGAUACACACAAUAUCCCACACAAGUAUAUCAUAUGUAGAGUAUUCUAUAACAAUCAUCUACAGAGAGUUAGUAUCCAAACAUCUAUUAUCAUGAGGAACACAUUUAGGUUUUUAUCUCUCCACCAUAUAUAUAGAAAAGCAAAAAAAAAAAAUAAAUAAAAUAAAAUAAAAUCAAGAGUGAGAGAGGAGAUAAAAGAUUAUAAAUGUCCUCCAUUCAUCUCUCCUCUUUUUUCUCCUCUAUACCAGGUAAACAGACAACACAAGGAUUAUGGAUUCAUGGGACAUGGCGACACUAAGGGAGGCGCAACGACAAAUGCGUAAAACAAAGCUUUUAUUUUCCACUGUAGAUAAAGAUGCUCUUCCGAGUUCCUGUGUAAACCCUAGAUGAAGAUCACCAAAUCGCGUAGUAGCUUUUUCCGGCUGCCAUUAACCACAGCAAAACCACUUCCUCUGCAACCAAAUUCGAUAAUUAUUUAGAAAGAAUCUGUAAACUGGAAAGUUUAGGUAUAUCAUCACUGCAUAUUAGAAUAAUAAGCCCCUGCAAAAUUAUCUGUUUCCUUGGAGAAUCUGAAUGUUCAAGUUUGUCCUUCAAAAACUUAAUUUGUUACGUGCAUAUCCUUGAACGUAACAAAAGUAGCCCUCUUUAAAGAGCUUCUAAUAAAAGACCAUCCUCCCCCAUAAACUGAAGGACUUCCCACCUUAAGAUACCAGUCACUCGUAUGAAACCACACUUUCGAAGCGCAUAUCUUCACAUACAGACAAUACAGGGGUUUGUCUACAUCAAUUACCUUCUUUAGAUCACAUUAUAUAAUCACUUAUCUCGACAAUCACUUAUCCUCUUUAGAUCACAUUAUAUAAUCACUUAUCCUCUUUAGAUCACAUUAUAUAAUCACUUAUCCUCUGCAGCCCUAGAUCUUUUGAUCUGAUGGUGGUCUGUUUCCCCCACAAUUAAAAUAUGGCCAUAGGUGAUAAAUCUAGUCUAAAAGGAUGUAAGAAAUCUAUGCAUGCUUAAUGAUUUAAUAUAUUUUGCCAAAAGAAAAGAUCCUUGGAUGAUACAUGCUAAUGCAUGCUUUAUGAUGCUUAUGAAAUUUAUGCAUGAUCUAUGGCAAGGGGAAUAGUGAGAGGGCUUUUCUGACAAAAGUGCAACUUCCGGAUUCUUCUAAAUCAUUACACGACAAGCACUUCCUGCCAGCCAGUACCAGGUUAUAUUGGCCGGAAGAAAACCGUGCGUCAAGCGAUUUUGUUGGAAAAUGUGUAAAUAGAUGAUUUUGCAAGAAUAUAUAUGGAAAAACUCCUACAAUAAAUAGCUUGAAUUGCAAAUCAACUGAUUUUCAUAAGAUUGAAGUGAUUAUAUCUUAACAACUUAGAAUAGGAUCAUACGCUCUUUCUUGGGUAUUGGUAGCUCUCGUCGGGUUUUAGGCCGCCAACGUUGUUUCGUAACGGUGGUUGUGCCGAGGCCCCACCUUGGUUACUGCUUGUCUUCUUUUCGUCGCGAGCUUUCUGGAAGAUGACAGUGAAACCUUCAGCUGAUGCUGGAUUGUUCACAUCCCACUCUCCAAAUUUGGGCAGCGGUCGGCCCUUCUCCUGCUGCACAAAUUUGAAAAAGGAAAGGGGAAAAAAAAAACAGUACUUUAAGUUUAAGGCGAAACCAUGAAAGCAUCAAGUGUGAAGAAUAUGCAUGUAAAAAAGCAGAUAACUUGAUGCAAGCAACUACACACACAUUCUCUUUUUUUUUGGUUAUAAUGUUGCGAGGAAAAUAAACUAUCUAAUCGUUAUUUUCUCGGAGGAGUCGAUCAAGAAGAUAACCUUUCAGAAAGAAGAGCAAUUUAGCAGGAACAACUCAUAGCAGGAAUAACAGUUAAAUGUUUCUACGAGCUUUCUCUGCUAAAUUUCUCCUCGUUACGAGUAGUUCCUUUCUUCAACAAAUAUUUGUUCACUAAAACACGAAGUAACUAAAUCUUCUUCAUCUUACAACAUAGCUCAUGCUGCCCAUCUCAGUUUUAAUCAAUACAUUACUUAUGAAACUGUAGAAACUCCAAUAUUCGGUUUGGAACCUUAAAUCAGUAGAAAUAAAUAAACCAUGAAAAAAGCAGGGAAAAUAGCAUCUUAACUUCCUUCUACCUCUCCAUGGAAAACAAAAAAAAAUAACCCAAGCAUAUAUUCAACAAAAGAUUAAUGUGUAAAUCAAGAGGUAUAUCUGCUCCCAAUCUAAAAGGUGAGCAUCGCGCGAGAACAAAUUAAUAAUGGCAAUUGAAAAAUACCAUCCUCACUAUAUAACCCAUUAGAUAAUAGAUGAAUGAGAACAUAGGAACAUCAAAUUAAAUUUCAUCUCCUCAACAUUAACCGAAAACCACAAUAAAUUCAUACCCCCACCAAAAAAAAAUAGAGAAAAAAAUCCCAUCACUCUGUAAUCACAAUGCCUCAGAUCAAUGCUUCAUACGCAUCAAAUUAUCCGUAACACAAUUGAUUGUUUUCCCAAGGCUAAAAAGAAACAGGAACAACCAAAAAGGAAAAUCCCCAGUAGUCCAUUUCCACACAAAAAUUAGAAACUACUCUUAAACCAUUCCCACCGCAUUCCCACAAACUCCAAGCUCGGUAUCAAAAGACCCAAUUCGCAAAAUCGUGUCUUUAAUCAACAAAAAUGGAGAUCAACCCCUAAGCCCCGCAAAAUCGUAUAUUUACUCCAAAACACACUCCAAUUGCCAAAACAAAAACAAAAACCACCCCCCUAAACCAUUCCGAACAAUUACGUAAACCCAAUUCGUAUCUUUAAUCCAAAAAAAAAAAAAAACACUCAUCAAUUCCGAAACAAACCAGAAGCCACCCUCCUACCCUACGCCGCUCCGAAAACCCAAUUCCCACGACCUCCGCACUCAAAUCGAAAGACCCAAUUCCCAAAACCGCAACUUCAAUGGAUCCACCCACUUUCCGAGCAAAAUAAAGCACGAACUAGGUCGUUCGAGAUAGAAUCAAGGAGCGAAGCAGAGAAAGGGCGAUUACCGACGCCAUGAUCGACGCGAGGCGACGCUCCGAAGCCCAAGUACCACGACAAUGGGAGGAGAGAGAGAGAGAGAGAGAGAGAGAGAGAGAGAGAGAGAGAGAGGAGCGGGUGCGAGAGAAUGGGGGGAGAGGGAAAAAAAAAGGGGCUCGGGGGAGAAGCGUCGUCCGUUUAAUCGCCGCGUGCCCACCGCAGAAUAACGGUGUGUCUGUUUCCUUCAUUCCUCUUCUGUUUCUCACACAUUCCCCGCUUAUGCGUACCCAAUAAUAACACUAACUACCCCCGUUACUACCCCAAACCUAUAAAUAAAUGAGUGAGGCUGGUAUGCCUGCCAAAGUACCGAGCUCUUCGUUCUUUCAAGUCAUUUUCGAUGUUGGGACUUUCGAAUCGACGAUCGGCUCCGUUAAAUUUGAUUUACAGCAUUUGAAGUACCUAAAAAAUAAAUUUCGUAGUUUUUUGAUAUCAUUCGCCUAGUGAUCGAAUGGCCUCAAAAUCAAUAAUUUUAAUAAUUGUGGGUAGCUGUUUGCAAGUUUAACAGUGUAAAAAUAUUCAAAUUACGUAAAAUUUUGAUAAAUUUUUUUUCAUACUAUAUAAAAUAAUAUCAAUAUCUUUGAUAUAAAAUUUUAAUAUCAUAUCAUUAUAUUUUGAAAUAUUUUUUAUUUUUAGCCGUUGAUUUUUAUCUUUUGAUAAGUAGGCAAAUAGUAUAAAAAAUUUGUGAAAUUUAUUUUCUAGGUACUUCAAAUACUCUAGAUUUAGUCUAACGGAGCUGAUCGUCGAUUCGAAAGUCCUAACAUUAAAAAUAAUUUAGAAGUACGGAGGGCUCCGUACUUCAAAAAGCAUACCAACCUCACUCUAAAUAAAUAAUGCAAUAAUAAUAUAUGUAAGAUCCAAAAAAAUAAUUGCAUGCCAGUUUUUGUAAACAUAUCAAAUAACAGAUAUAUCCCUUCAAAUUUUAAUUUUUUAUUUUUAUCCCUAUAAAAACUUUAAUAUUUUCAAAUAUGUUCAUGAUAUUAGAAUCCGUUAGAAAAAUAUUAUCAGCCAUGAGUAAAAUAUUAAUUCUUUUUACCUCUCUUAUAUUAUUGGGUAAAAUAUUUUUUGAGAGGAUACUUUUGUAUAAUUUUUAUUGUUGGAAUUUUUAGAGGAAUAGAUUUUAUAAGGACAAAAAUAUUAUUUAACUUAUCUGUUGUUAAAAAAAUAAAUAAUAUUCUAAUGGUAAUAAACUAGAGGGGGUAACUAUGAAUAUCACCCGACUUUUAUAGAAAUAAAAAUAAAAAAUUAAACUUUAUUGGGAUAUUUUUACUAUCCGAU